rnacentral:lncRNA from 1 species
CAAAGCAGGUCAUUCAAUACACAAUUUUCUUGCAUUCUAAUAUAUUCACUUUUAAAUAUACUGUCCACUUUCAAGGUACAAUGGAAGCAGAAUAUUUCCAGCACAAAGGAAUUAACUUCAAUUCAUUAUUAUACUCAGAAGAACAUCUUAAUUAUUUGGAAAAUGAGUUUCAGGUUCGGGAUGAGGAUGUCUUCAAUGUUACUUUCCCUAAAUCAGGUAUGUGUGCUGUACCAAUAACAUAAUAUAAAAAAUAGGAAUAUUGCAAUUGUAGAUACAAGCAUACAAAAUGACCACAUAAGACACUAGUACCCAUUAGCAUUUUGUGCAAUUUUAGUUUUUUUUACCAAAUGUGUGUGUGUGUAUGUAUGUAUAUGUGUGUGUGUGUGUGUGUGUGUGUGUGUGUGUGUGUGUAUAUAUAUAUAUAUAUAUAUAUAUAUAUAUAUAUGUGUUAUCUGUAUUAACUUAUCUUUAUAGUAUAUUGUUAAUAUAUCUUCAUUGCCUUUGUUUUUCUUCAGUCAUAUUAAUAUAACUUCCAUUAUAUUUGGAAUAAAUGUGUUCUGACAAGACUAUUUUGUUUUUAGAUACUAUCCGAUCUGCAGGUACUAACUGCAUAAAUAGUGGCAUUCUUAACACUGAUAAAGUGUAAGAGUGUGAGUGUGUUUAUUUUUUCUGCAUAAUACUCAAUCAGAUACAUUAUUGGCUUAUUAUCAUAGAAUCACGAGAAAAGCUAGUGGCAAAUGUUUUCAAUUAUUAUGGUUAGCGUUUAUAUAGCACCUGCUUAUUCCACAGAGCUUUACAAUGUUAUAAAGGGGGAAAGUUUAACAAUAAAUGUAACAAUUACAAAAUGUUACAGGAACAGUAGGUUGAUGAGGACUCUGUCAAACAAGCUUACGAUCUUGACUAGAUAAUUACUUUAUAUGCAUUCAUACUUCAGUGUUACAGCUGCCAUAACCAUCACAGGCCAGACAUUUGCUUUAACCCCUUAAGGAUGCUGGUCGGAAACUUUUCAUCAUUACAGUCCUCUGUCCAAUACUAAAAUAAACCCCAGAUUGCCGCAAUAGUGGGGUUAAUGGCAGUAUCACUGAUUCGACCGGCAGUCAGAGUGAUCACACGUGCUGCAGUGAAACCCGAUCUGUCUGCCUGCAACUCCUUGUGAGCUGUGAAGUGCAGGGAGACAGAUUGGCUCUGAUCUGCUUACCUGUGUAAAAAAACAAAACAAAAAAAAGUGUUAGGUUAAAAUAACAACUCACCCCUUCCCAAUAAAAUUUAACUCCUUUGCUGUGUGUAUGUAUAUGUGUGUAUAUAUAUAUAUAUUUUUUUUUUUACACUUUACUUUUUAAUCCAUUUAUUUUAAUUUUAUUUUCAGCCAGCAGGCGGACCACCUGUCAUUACAGGCAGCCCCCCUGCUGGCAAUGCAGGAGGCAGCUACCCCCGGCCAUGUGAUUGUGGGGUCCUCACAAGGACCUCACUCUCACAUGGCCGGGGGGCACCGGAGGAGGAGGAUCUACUGCGGGGGGUCUCCCUGGGAGUCCCCCCCACCGCGAUUGCCGGCGUGGGACCGCCGGCGACCGGGUAAGUAAAGAAAGACCGGAGGGCGUACAAUUACGCCCGGCGGCGUUUAGAGCCGCCUAAAAUAGGGCGUAAUUGUACGCCCUCCGGUCUUAAAGCGGCACUGUCAUGCCGAACUUACCUUUCCUAAAUCUCUUCCUCUUCUCCCCCUCUCUCAGGAUCUGUUAUUCUUUUCUUCCUGUCUUCUUUAGUUUUCUUUAAAAUCAUAAGACAAAGUAGGGACUCUUUGCCUUAUGGAGGAUUCCUCCGCUUGACCAGCUCUGACCAGCGGAGGAGCAAAGUGUGCUUCAUUUCAGCUGGUCAGAGCAAUUUUCCCAUGAUCCCUAGCUUUCCUCAGUGUUCCCACAAUGCUUCCUGUCAUUUUACAUGAAACUGCCGAAUUGCGUUCUAACUGAAUGACAACAGUAUGUUCGUUUCUUUUAGAACGCAAUUCGGCAUUUUAUUCGGAUCGGAAUUUCAUUCUAAUGAAUGAAACUCUGAUCCUAUUCAUUGCUGUGGCUGCACCUUGCAGCCGCUUAGUAGAUAACUCCCUAAUUCCCACGGUAUCAGGGAGCUAUCUACUAAAAGGCUGAAAGACCUAAAUUGGUCUUUCAGCCAAAUUUACUAAUACUGAGUAAAGAUUACUUAGUAUUAGUAAAUUAAAUGCCCCUACUCGCUAUACCGCGAGUAGGGGCAUGUGUAGUAAGCAGUGAGCAGCUUAUAGCUGCUCACUGUAAAAAAAAACAAAAAACUAAUAAACCCCCCCCAUGCCCAUGGGGGCCCUAAAUAAAGAUGGGGGGACCUACUGGCCCCCCCUGGCCCCCACCCCUGAGUGGUGGGCGGUGGCACUAAAUAAAGAUAUGGGGGGGGAACUUCUGUCCCCCCACUGGCCCCCACCCCUGCGCGGUGGGUGGGGGCCCUAAUAAAACAAUAAGGGGGGACCUACUGUCCUCCCCCCCUGGCCCCCACCCCUGCGCGGUGGGUGGGGGCCCUAAUAAAACAAUAAGGGGGGGGACCUACUGUCCUCCCCCCCUGGCCCCCACCCCUGCGCGGUGGGUGGGGGCCCUAAGAAGAUUUUAGAAAAAAGAAGACGUUAAAUGGUAAGUUUAAUUUUUUUUUUUUUACAGGUUAGUUAUUUUAUUCCCCCCCUCACUAUUUGUAGGGUGAGGGGGGUAGGUAGGGGAUAGGUUUUUUUGGGUGGGGGGGUGGUGACUAGGGGCUUGGGACCCCUAGUCACCUUGAUUGGGGAGGGGGUGUUUCAUUUAGGGCCCCCACCCACCGCUUAGGGGUGGGGGCCGGGGGGGGAGGACAGUAGAUCCCCCCCCUUAUUGUUUUAUUAGGGCCCCCACCCACCGCUCAGGGGUGGGGGCCAGGGGGGGAGGACAGUAGGUCCCCCUUAUUGUUUUAUUAGGGCCCCCACCCACCGCUCAGGGGUGGGGGCCGGGGGGGGGAGGACAGUAGGUCCCCCCCCCAUUAUCUUUAUGGCCCCCACCCGCCGCUCAGGGUGGGGGAGGGGGGGAGGACAAUAGGUCCGCCCCCCCUUAUUGUAAUUUAUGUCUUUUUUUUUCAACAGUGAGCAGCCACAGGCUGCUCACUGUUUAGUAGACAUGCCCCUACUCGCGGUAUAGUGAGUAGGGGCAUUUGGGAGAUUUAAAUCUCUCUUGUGCUAUUAUGGGGGUCAUAUUGACCCCCAUAGAGUGAGAGGGGGUACUGGGGGGCUUAUGAAGUGGUGGGGAGCACUGCUCCCUGCCACUUCUAUAGUUACAUAUUACAAGGAGGGAGCUGCACGCCGGUAGCUCCCUCCUUGUAAUAAACUGCACGAACAAACAUACACUGAUACUCAGAUACACUGAUACAUUGUGUUUGUUUGUUCGGCUGAUCUUUCUAUUCACUCAUUCGUCUGUCUGAUGAAUGAAUGAAUAGAUGAAAUUCCCGUUCGCAUGUCCAGGUGUUUCACUGGGCAUGUGCGGGAAUCUCAGUGUCUGCCUAGUGUGGGCUGAUGACGUGUCCCACAGGGACUUCACCUACCCACACAAAGAUGGCGGCGCCCUGAAUCAAGAUCGGGGCAGAAAAUAAGGAUUAAAAAAUAGGUAAUGUGGGGGGCUUAGGGGCAUUUGGGGGUGACUAGUGGGUCAAUUGGAUGUAGUGGAGGCGGGAGGGGGGUUAAAAAAAAAACGGGUUUCGGCAUGACAGUGCCGCUUUAAGGGUUUAAACUGAAAUCCUAAACAUUUACAUUUGUUUGGUUUGUUUCUUUUCAAUUUGCAACAAUUCCCCUAGUGAAUAAAUCCCCACUUAAUUUAAAAAAAAAUUAUAAUUAUGAGCCCUUCCCAGUAAUUAUCAGAAGAAUUAUCCUAAAGAUGUAAUAUGUUGCAGUUCACAUGGUUUAAAAAUAAUUUGCUUUGAUCUAAGCAGAAACUUGUCAUUCUUUUGAAAAGGAAAUGAGUGCUAUUUUUUUUUUUUUUUUUAAUUAAUGCUUUUCUUUUAUGGGUACACAUAAAAUUCACAGCUUUCUUGCAGUCUUUAAUUUCCAGUUUUUCCUGUUUAAUAUACAUAUUUUGUGUUUCUCUAAAUUAUAAAGGAGAUAUAAUUAUCAAUUAUAUAAUAUCAUUUUCUGGAUUUGUUGUAAUUCGUCAAGAACCUACCUGAAUUAAAACCUUGGAGUGUCAAUAUUUUUUUAGAUAUUUAUGCAUUUGUGACUGGGCACCAGGUAUUUAUUUAUUUUUUCAUUGUUGGAGUGCAAAUGUGUGGGUGUUGUAGUGGGUUGUUUUUUGGGGGGUGGGGUGUGUAUAUGUGGGGGUGCAGUGUGCAUGGGGUGAGGGGUGUGUGUGUAUAAUUGGCAAAAGUUGGGUUUUGCUUCCAAAAAUCAGGUACUUAAAAAACCCAAAACAAAACACUGCUGCCAUGGAGGAGUGCCAUGCUGCAGUUCUUUGUGGUCCUAGUGGUGAGUGAACUCUACCCUGCAGUUCCUGGUAACUAUGGCAGCGUUCCGACCUCGCAAGAGGAACCCAGCGGAGCUGCAAGAUAGAGCUCCACUGGGUCCUCCUCUCCCUCCCCAGCCAGCGGCAGCAUGUCAGUGCCUGUGGGCCGGUGAGGGAGAUCUUUGAUCUCCCCACCGGCCCACGAAGGCACACAGCAGGGCUGGCGCUCAGAUAGUGCAGGCCCUACAUGGGUCGACCAGGGAGAUCCUGUGAUCGCGACCCACCGGCAAUUUGCCCGAUGGCCAGUCAGGAGGUGGUCACUUAGUAUCCCUAUUGCUCCACCCCUGGAUCAGGCGUGGCAAUUCACAGGGUGUAUCUCCUGUGAUUCUGAAGGGUGUUUGUGUACUUGCUUGGGGCCAAGAUCUAAUUUUGAGUGAGUCACCAUCUUUCCUUGCCAGAGACCCCCUGGACAGAAGUUGUACUUUGAAAAACCUAAGUUCGUAAUUAGGACUUGGACUUCUGUAUUUUAUCCUUUUUGUUUUUAUCUGUUGUUGGUGUAAAUAAUUUGUUUAUCAUAUAUUGUUAUAUGCACUGUGAUUAAUUUUUGCUCAUAAUAAUCAUUCAUUUAUUAAGUUCUGCCUUUGUCUGGUUAAGAAUCACGUUACCUGAAGAGACUGGUUAGUAUUUUUAUAAUUCCUUAAAUAUUGUGCUAAGUAAUAUUUGGUGGGUUUUAUUAUUGAUUUACCUGGGGGACCAAGGCACCCCAUUUAUAAAUUGUGUUGGUGGCGGCAGCGUUAAAAUAGUAAUAGUUAUAUUAUUAUGUUUAAGUGUGGGUGGUGUUAAAGGGGGAUUUUGUCAUUAUUUCCGGUCUAGUGCAGACAAAUAGUGAACUUUAACCCUUUCACAACCACAACUACGUCACGCGCACUCUUGGAGUAGUGUGCGUUCGUGACAUGCUCAAUUUUGGUAUCCAUGACUUUGGCUUGUCUAUCACUUUUGCUAUUUACCUGUUGGUAAUUAUAUCAUGUGAUAUCUAUGGAUAGUAGUUGAUAAAACAGUGGCGGAACUACCGACUGUGGGGCUGCACCAGGCCUCGCAUGGCCAGGGAGGCCAUUGUGUGGCCCAUGUACUUAGGGCCACAUGAUGUAUAUGAUUUAUUUAUUCCUGAGCAGGGGAUGGGUUGUGUGUCACAGCCCUUUUAAGAGCUUGUCCGGAUCCCUGCAGUAUCUGCUGGCUGCGAGAGUGAUAAACAGCAGAUCACUUCCUCCCAGCUUAACACAGAGUGCAGCGUGAGAAGUCGGGAGACGGAGACCCCACAGACAGGCAGUCCAAAACUCCACACUCCCAUCAACCUUGGGAAGCAGCACAAGCAACCACCCUCCUGGACACAAACGUUAAGCUAACAAGAGGGUGGCUGCAACUAUAAAAAAAAAAUUAAGACAUUUUAUGUUUUUGUGUGUGUAUUUGUUAGUGUGUUUGUGAUAUAUCAGGGUGUAUAUGAAUUUGUGUGUUUGUGUGUGUAACUAUGUAUGCAUGUGCAUACAUACAAGCAAUCAAACCCUAACACAACACGCAAACACAUUUCUGCAAUUGAAUACUAGUAUUGCAUACAAACCUACACACAACAAUACAUUCACAUUCAAAAGCCAACAUUACAUCCAAAUACACCCCUGCAAUCAGACAGACAAGCACAGCCCUAAUUAAGACACUAAAAUUAUAUAAAAGCACCCCCCUUCAAUCAAACAAGCAAUACACACAAAAGAACACCUUAAUUUAAAAGCCAACACAACAUACAAACACACCACUGCAUUCAAACACAAGCACUACAUACAGGUACACCACUGCAUUCAAAUGGCAACAGUACAUACAAUUACACCCCUACAUGCACUCACAUACUCUAUACAGAAACAUGCUUACGAAUGUAACCUUGCAAGGAUGGACAAAUGGUAGAUCCCCACCUGAUGUAGCAAUGUUGAACUUGAAUAACAGAUGUCAAUCUACCUUUUGAUCACUUUUGCAAUAGAGGAAACAGGUGGGGGGGGACGGGCAAAAAACACUCUUGCACCGGGGCCUCAUUACAUUUGUUCUGCCACUGUGGUAAAGCAUUACUGUACCUUAUUAUUUCGAUUAGAAAGUUCCUUUAUUGUCACGGUGGAAAAGUAACCUCCCAUUAGAAAAAACAUAAUUUCAAAGGACUUAAACGCUUGUAACUUCUUUUAACUACUUUAAAACUACCUAAACUACUGAUGACUCAGGCGACUCCAAACUGAGGAAAAUGCCAAAUUAGAGCAAAAACUCCCCAGUAAAUCCUCCCUUUGGCAUCUAGCAUAAACUCUUCAGUGACUUUUUAAGCACAUUCAAUUUAUUUUGUUUACUGUGAACCCCUAAGGAAUUAUCUAUUUAAUCACAUAUUUUAGGGCAACAUAGCAGAGCUUUUUUGUUUGUUUUACAUUUAGCUGUUUUAACCUAAAAUGUGCACUUAAAAAUUAAACUGUCAGAAUUAUUGUCCUCCACUUUUGCAGCUGUUCCUUAGUAAAAGUUGGGGAUUUAAUUGUUGGGUUAGCCUGCUCUAUAAUCCAAACAUUAUUGUGAAUUACCUGUAUCUGUGACACUUAAUCCCUUUCGCAACACUAGACAGACAUUUUCCGUCAUGCUUGUUCUACCGUUAAGGACGCAUGACCGACAAUUUCCAUAAUUUACGAAAGUUAACCCCAGAUCGCCGCGAUUGUAGCACUACAGGGACUACAUUUUACUGUCUGAAACAAGGGGCACGGAGGUAUACACAGCCAGCUCCUGAACCCCCCCGGCAAUCAGGGGCAAGAAGGUUGUUACUUACCCAUCAGAAGGGUAAUCACUUGCAUGGUCAGAGCUUCCUCCACAGGCACAGGUCUGCUAUAGGCCGGAAAGCACGACCAUGUACAGCACUGCAAUGGUAGAGCAGGCUGUAACCUCAAAAGGCAGUAUAACACCUAUCACUCACAGGCAUUCAAAAGUGGAUAAUUAUACAUGGCAGAUUGCAAGCUGGAUAUAUGUAUUGUACAAGUAAUGUUAAUGUAUUGAUUAGGUUGUUGCAAAAUUCUCAUUUAGAUACAUGGCUGAUUAUUAGUAUAUAUGUUGAAAUAAAAUUGCAAUGUGCAUAACAGUUAUGAAUGGUUUUCCUCUCUGGCUGUUAUUUAUGCUGGAAAUUUACGUGUAAAAAAUUUAAAUAAAAGUACAACUCUGCUUUUAUAAAUGGGAAAUUAAUUGUCCUGGUAAAAAAAUCUGUUGUAUACUCAUUUCAGGGUUUUUCAUUAAAUCUGCAGAUGUGCUUUUGUGAUUCAAGACCAAAUCACAAUCUCAAGAAAUAUUUUUGUCGCCUUAUAACUGGUAUGUGCAUUUAGUAUCAGGCACUAGUACUUAAGUCUCACAUGGAGGGACAAGAAGCGGCAUAUGUUAACUCGGUAUUUGUCAUUUUGAUCUCUAGAUUCUCCUUGCAGGGUUCAGAGACCUAGACAAAGACAAGAGUAUUGUGUUUCUUCCAUUGGUACGUGCACUAUAUGUAACAAUCAUACGUUUCGUUACUCAGACAUAAUACGGCACUUAGUGCACAAGCACAUAAAUGUGCGCCAGGUACAAACUGUACCAAGCAGACAUUUACAAUACUGCUAUAACUUAUUCUGACGUGUUACAGACUCAAGAAGCCAAGUUUAGACAGACUUGGCCCAUCAGAACCUACAAUAUACGUGACAUACAGAACAAUUUCAUAUGUCAUCUAAAGAUAUAGGUAGGUGUCCAUAGGAUAUUCUACAUACGAUUAGGGGUGGUAGUUUUCAUCAACGAUAUAUUAGUACAAACUCAUAUGUACCCUAUACCUUCCAUUCUGUCAUCCAUCAUCUGGUUUAGGCCUCCCCCCUUAGCUGGAAAUCAGACUACUACAGCCAACACCCAUCCUCCACGAAAGAGGUAAUAACGCCCCACGGGCCAAGCCAUAGCUAGACACCUCGCAUGUUGCAUAGUAAGGGUGUCACUCAUCACAACCCCUCUGCAGAUCAAAGACUCAUCCCUUGUAAGCCCACAUCCAGCAGAUCACCCCCUCACGCCAACCAUAGGUAGAGCCGACCCAGGCACUUGGCGACUAGUAGGGACUCGCCUGUUACCAGUAUAAUGAAUUGUUUUGCCACCUUGGCACUAGUUAAAACAACUGUAUACACCCUCAAGAGAAACUCAUGAUUCCUAUAUAUAUGUAUUUCAGUAUGUUCCAGAAGAAGUAGAUAACAUUUCUAUUCCAAAUAGGACUGCCACCCCUACACGAAAAGGGGACACCGGCAGUCCAUCUUCAAUUAGAUCGUGGACCAUCCCACGAAUCACGGCCGAAUUACGCAGGCGCAGCAUAUUCUUUCCAGCUACUGCCUGCAAAGCAGAACUAUUUAGGCUAAUGCAAGCCAAUUGAGGAAAUAUACAAAAUAGAUAAAUAGGCGCAAGAAAAAAAAAAAAAAAAAUAUAUAUAUAUAUUUUAGCACCUGCAAUAAGCCCUGGUAAUGAGGUACCCAAAUUGUUAAAAGACAAAAAAGUGCCGAUGUGCAGAAUAUUUGACACACUUGUGGUGUCGCCACAUGUUUCUAGGCUGUUUUUGUAGUACAAAUAGUGCUAUCCCAUACAACACACGUGUAUAUACCACACAUAUGUGAAUAUACUUUUGCAUACACAGGAUAUCUGCAAGAUGGGAGACAAAAAACAAAAAUCGCACUCCUAGUGCAAUAAAAUAACUUAAAUCAAAUAAAAUCAAUUGCCCUCAGUAAAAAUGCAACUCACAAAUAGGGAGUGGUAAAAGCUCCACUCCUAGCUCAAGUUAUUUUAUUGCACUAGGAGUGCGAUAUUUUUUUUUUGUUUGCUUUGUUUUUUUGUCUCCCAUCUUGCAGAUAUCCUGUGUAUGUUGCCGGCAGGGUAAAAGUAUAUUCACAAAUGUUUACUGGUAUAUACACGUGUGUUGUAUAGGAUAACACUAUUUGUACUACAAAUACAGCCUUACAUUUUUGACACACUUGUGGUGUCUCCACAUAAUACUAACAAUUCAGACGCGGGAGAAGGCACCAGUGGCAUGAGCAAUGCCAAUCUGCAUCCCAUGAUUGCCUCUUUAGUGUCAUCCAUGGGACAGAUCAAUGAUAAACUGGAGAAUCUGGAAGCCAGUAGCUGUCCAGUCAUGACACCUGAGCUGCUCGCAAUCGAUAUUCCCUUCCCACUCCCAACCCGGUAAUAGUAAUACGCCCACCAUCUUAGGGUCACUAGUUAUUAACCCAGCCUAUAUGGUACCGGUAAGCCUCAAGAAAGACAUCCUGGAGGGCAAAAACGUUAAUCUCGUAUCGCUUCUCAUUGCCUCCCAGGAUGCCACAGAGAACCGCUUGUAUAGGUAUGGCGAUAUCUCAGGGGUCCUUAAGGCCAGAGACCCAAGACUGAGUAAAAAGCUGUCCAUCCUAGAUUUCAUAAUCGCCUUCGGCAUUUACAGGGACGUGCUGUGCUCAGUAUACCUGCAGAGAAGAAUUAGAUUUGUAUAUGCACAAGCUGGUGGACCUGGGCAACAAAUACGGUGGUUUGUCAUUUUACGACUACCACCGUUCAUUUGCAACAAAGGCGACAACGGCUCUGGCCCAGUACAACGCCAAAAUGGACUAGAGCCAAAUGGAUACAAAGCUGUUCCUUAGGCACUUUUCCAGGCUAAGGUCCCCAGCUUGUGCCAAAUGCGUGCUACCAUGCAUGCGGUAUAUACAUCUCUUCAAACAUAUUUCAGGCUUACUGGAUACCACACCUUUCGACCCGCGUACAAACACGGUUCUUAAAUCCGCAAUAUACUUGGCUUUCUACGGCUUCCUCCGACUCCGAGAAUUCACUGUCACAGGGCAACACGCUUCUAAGCAUUGUCUACGGUACUCAAAUCUGUACAAACUACAAGACCAUUACGUGCUAAGCCUACCCUCAACUAAGACCAGCCAGCUGGGACAAGAGGUACUUAUACACUACUACCCCACCAACAACACAUGGUGCCCGGUGAAAGUUUUUGACACAUAUCUUAUGUCAAGAACCACACAAACCUCACUCCCUCUCCUUUCACUGCACGGGGCCACCCUUACCACCUCUAAAUUCAUGGUGUACUUACGAUUAUUGUUGUCACGCCUCGGCUUAAACACCACCAAAUAUUCAGGACAUUCAUUUAGGAUAGGGGCAGCAUCCACUGCCUCAAGCCAAGACAUCCCAGACCAUGUAAUCAAAACCUUGGGCCGCUGGAAGUCAUCCGCUUUUGCUGUUUAUAUACCUCAGCUUAUUCAAGAAUUAAGAAAAGCAUUUAAGAUGUCAUCAUAAAUAUGCCAGUAUUAUAUCAUGUUAUUUUGUAAUAAAUAUUUGGUAUUCCUUGUGCUCACUUAUUUACAGGCCUACCACACACAUUGGUAUCGGCACACCUCAACCGACUUUUGCUUACUGUGGUAAUGUACUUACUUGCUAAUUCAUACUAUUACUGAAAUGGCCUCGAACACAAAUUGGAAGGCUGGGCCUGUAGUUAGGGGGGGGCUAUGUACCUUUAAAAAUGACUCCCCCCUCUUACCUAAAAUGUUUUGCUUUUUUAUGAAUGGGGAGCUACUGAUUGGCUGAGAGUGCCAGCUGAGCGCUCUAGCCAAUCAGUGACACACCUACCCAACGGCACUCUGUGCUUCCUGACACACAGUAAAUAAGACACAUUAACACGGAAGAUUUUAUUACCUGGGGAGGUGGAAGGUCCAAAGUUUCCCUGCCAGGCCCAGGUUCUAAAGCCUUAUGAUGUGGUGUGCAGAAUAAAGUGGAGGGAUCACUUCACUUGUCCUUCUUGCUCAAAUGUCCUUUUCAUCUUCUUCAUUUGACACAGUCUUCUUAUUUUUCUGACACUGUCUUCUCUCCCUCUUGGCUUCUUUUGCGCCUUUCUGAUCCCUUUCUACUCCUUGCAGACCCAUUCUGCUCCUUCGCCUACUUUACCUUUGUGCUCAUUCUGCCCCUUUCUGCUCCGUGCUGUCCCUUCCUGCUCAUUUGUUCCUUCUCCUUCCUGCCCUUUCUGCUCCUUGUUGUUUCUUUCUGCUCCUUCUUCUACUUUACCUUUGUGCUCCUUCUGAUUCUUUCUGCUCCUUUACCUUUGUGCUCCUUCUGUCCCUUCCUGCCUCUUUCAGAACCUUCUUGCUGCUUGCUGACCCUUCCUGAUCCUUGCUGCCCCUUCCUGUUCAUUUCUAUUCCUUUCUGCUGCUUCUCCUACUUUACCUUUGUGCCCAUUCUGCCCCUUUCUGCUCCGUGCUGUCCCUUUCUGCUCUGUGCUGCCCUUUUCAGCUCCUUCUUGCCCAUUUCUACUCCAUUCUGCCUUUUCCAGCUCCUUGCUGGCCCUUUCUGCUCCUUCUUCUACUUUACCUUUGUGCUCCUUCUGAUUCUUUCUGCUCCUUUACCUGUGUGCUCCUUUUGCCCCUUGCUCCUUGCUGCCCCUUCCUGCUCAGUUCUGUUCCUUUCUGCUCCUUCUCCUGCUUUACCUUUGUGCUCCUUUUGUCCCUUGCUGCCCGUUUCUGCUCUUUGCCUUUUCCAGCUCCUUGCUGCCCCUUUGUGCUCCUUCUCCUACUUUACAUUUGUGCUCCUUCUGAUUCUUUCUGCUCCUUUAACUUUGUGCUCCUUCUGUCCCUUCCUGACUCUUUCUACUUCUUGCAGACCCUUCCCUCUCCUCCUUUCCUUCUCCUUGUAGACCCUUUCUGCUCCUUGCAGACCCUUUCUGCUCAUUUCUGUCCCUUCCUGACUCUUUCUGCUUCUUGCAGACCCUUCAUUCUUCUUGCAGACCCUUCCUUCUCCUCCCUUUCUGCUCCUUGCCGACCCUUUCUGCUCAGUUCUGUUCCUUUCUGCUCAUUCUCUUACUUUACCUUCAUGCUCCUUGCUGCCCCUUUCUGCUCUUUGCUGCCCUUUCCAGCUCCUUGCUACCCCCUCUGUGCUCCUUCUCCUACUUUACAUUUGUGCUCCUUCUGAUUCUUUCUGCUCCUUUACCUUUGUGCUCCUUCUGUCCCUUCCUGACUCUUCCUUCUUCUUGCAGACCCUUCCUUCUUCUUGCAGACCCUUUCUGCUCCUUCUCCUACUUUACCUUUCUGCUCCUUCCAGCUCAUUGCUGACCCUUUCUGCUCCUUGAUGUCCCUUCCUGCUAUUUUCUGUUUAUUCUCCUUUCUGAUCCUUCUCCUACUUUACCUGCUCCUUGCUAAUCCUUCCUGUAUCCUUCCCCAUCCUUCACUUACCUGACCUGUAGGCUAUCUUCAGUCUUGGGGUUGCUGGCUGCUCUCUGUGGUUUGUCAGGAGAGAGAAGCAGGGAUAAGAUGUAGCUUCCUAUCCCUGCCUCUCUCCUCCCACACAGCGCCACUUACUGGCCGGUGCCGGUAUUGCAAUGUAUUAUCAAUCUCAAAAGAAAAACACAGACACAAACUGAAAAAUCCAGGGGGGGAACAAGUGCCCCCCUGCACCCCCAGGAUGCCCAUGUACUCAGCUGAUGUAGCUGAACACAAUAUGGAGUUCUGUGCAGGAAUAGCACACACCAGCUUUACAAAAUACACAUUACAAAAGCCUUGUUAUAUGUGUAUAUGCCAAAAUAGAGUAAAAACACAAUUUUACUCCAAUAUUUAGCAGAGAUUGGUGAUGAAAUUGCUACGUAAAAAGUAUCAAAAUAACUUUAGGUAAAUAGCCUGUGAUUUCUACGUUAUAUAAAUAUAUACUUUUCUGUGGCAAUUUUGUUUUCUGUGAUUGCUACUAAAUCUACAAGACAGACAUACCAACUUCUAAAAUAGUUUCACAUUGAAAUUUUAUUUUAGUCCUUGUAACUUUCAAAAUAAGUUGAAAUCCUAUACAUAUUAUGUAGUCUAUAAAUCAAGACACAUAAAUUAAGUGUUCUUGCAUAGCAAGACCACUUAAUGUUAUCUCACAUAUAUAUUAAGUGUUCUUGCAUAGCAAGACCACUUAUUGUUAUCUCACAUAUAUAUUCUUUUAUUAAGUGUUCUUGCAAGAACACUUAUUGUUAUCUCACAUAUAUAUUAUUCUUAUUAUAGCCAAAUUUGCCACCCUAACUCCUCCCACAGUUUUUACACUACAUAGACCAAAAUUUACCAAAACGUGCAGAUUGUUCCCGAUCGGAUUGCUAUUACUUUGUGGAACGUUUCGCCGAAUGGUUCACGGAAUAUCGUCGUUCUUGUGGCGCAAUUUGUCCCAUAGGAAUGAAUGGCAAAGCUAGAGUGGGAGCUGGCAAAAGCUGAAAAAUCAGGACAUGAUUUCUAAACUGCCACCACUCCCUCAUUUUCAGGCCCACCUACACAAAUCUUAUAUCAAAACGUUCAGCUAUCCCUGCUGCCACUAAACAUGUCAACGGCUAAGCCGUAGUCCUGAUAGUUUUCACAAUAUGACCAUUUGUUUGCAACCAACGCCGUCCAUUGACAUUCAUUGAAACUUCACUCUGCAAAGCUCAAAUUUGAAGUGCAAUUUCUAAACUGCGACUGUGCCUUCAAUUUUAAUACUUCAGAGACAUACUAUGCAUCAAAAUGUAGGUCUUGGUCUUGUGAUUCUCACAAUAUAAAGCUCUUCACUGUAGGAGUUAUAGUUUUUAAGAUACGACUGUUUGAAGAUGGCAACCACCAAAAUACUCUGACCUGUGUCAAGCUGCAGCAGCAAGUGAUGUCAUAGACAGGGCCUUUUGAACACCUGCUAAUAUUUUUAUAAAUGUAUGGUUUAAUGUAACUGUGCAACAACGUUACCGUGCUUAUUCAGGGCGGGUGGCCGGGCCGAGGUCGAUCGCGCCAGAAUUCCCUUAACGGCGGGUAGCCGGACCUGCGUCGUCACGCGGUAAAAUUAACCCCGGAUCGCCGCUAUUGCGGCGAUCGCGGGGUUAAUGGUGCUCCCGGUAUGCCUCCGCAUUGGAGGCAUACCGGGAGCACCCGGUCAAGCUGCCCAGCACAUGUGCUCGCUCUGACCACAAGUCUGAGCGAGCACAUGUGCUCAGUAUACUCACCUACCGGCUCCCUGCACUUCCGGGUUCUGUGUGAAGUGCAGGGAGCCGGAUCAGUGCUGAUCCUGCCCCCUGCUGUUAAAAAAAAUAAAGUUAAUUUAAAGUGUCCCCCCCUUACCCAUUUUAAUAAAAAAAUUAACCCCUUCCCUGCCAAUUGAUCACUGACUACAGUGAUCAAUUGGCAGGGAUUACAUUUUACUAUGAUCUGAUUUUUUUUUUUAACCCCUGAGGGUUAAUUCUUUUUUUUUUUUAACCCUCAGGGGUUAAAUUAAUUAAAUUAAUUAAUUAUUUUUUUUUUUAAUUAUAUAUUUAGAUAGCUGGGGUGGGUGGAAGUUAGUGGGGAAUUGGGGGAUUUGGCGUUAGGCUAACUAGGGGUUAACGUUAAAAAAAGUUUUAAAAGAAACUUUAAAAAGUUAAAAAUUAAGCUUAAAAAAUGUUUUAAUAACAUUUAAGUAAAAAAAACAAAAAACACACUUUACCUAGUCCAAAUAAAAAUUAACCCCUUCCCUGCCAGUCGAUCACUGCCUACAGCGAUCAAAUAGAGAUCACAGUAUUAUACUGUGAUCUAAUUUUUUUUAACCCCUGAGGAUUAACUUUUAUUUAUUUUUUUUAACCCUCAGGGGUUCAAUUUAUUUAAUUAAUUAAUUUAAAUAUUUUAUAACUAUAUAUUUUGCUAGCUGGGGUGGGUGGGAGUUAUGGGAAAAUGGGGAAUUUACUGUUACUGCUGCAUACUGCUAGUUAGGGGUUAACGGUAAAAAAAAAAGCUUAGAAAAAUGUUAAAUCUGUAAAAAAGUUUUAAGAAAGUUUAGGAAAGUUUAAAAAAAAUUUAUAAGCAAAGCAAAAGUUGAAAAACUAGUUUUUAAAAGUAAAAAAGUUAUAAAAAGUAAAAAAAAUACAUUUUAAAAACGCUCAUUACCACUACACCUGGAGCAAACUAGAGAAAAAAUUAUCCCACGCCAAGGUUCAAAAUAUGCCUUUUGAAUUACCCCAGGGUGUAUUCUUUAAUAAAUAGUAUGUGUUUGUGGGGAAGUUUCAAUAACCAACCGUCUAAACUACUCCAAAUUGGAACAUGGACACAGCGUAAAACUUCAAAGUUAGAAAAAAACUGAAUGGCUGCGUCUCAAAUGCGCCCCUUCAACAUCCACAUAUACAUGGCAAAAGGUACAUACGGGGGUAUUGCUGUACUCAGCCGACAUAGCUGAGCAACAUAUGAAGUAUUAUACAGUCAUAGCACACAUAAGGUUUGCAAAAUAUGCUGCGCAAACUCACUUUGUAUGUCAAAAAGGCAGAAAAAUGCUUAUUACCACUACACUUGGUACAAGCUAGCGGAAAAAUUAUCCCACGCUAAGGUUCAAAAUAUGCCUUUUGAAAUACCCUGGGAUGUCUUCUUUAAGAAAUGGUAUGGCUUUAUGGGGAAUUUGGAUUAUAUAGCCUGGUAAAAUACUCUAAAAUGGGACAUAGGCACAGCAUAAAAAUUCAAAGUUUGAAAAAAACUGGAAUGGCUGUGUCCCAAAUGUGCCCCUCCGAUGUCCACACAUACCUGGCAAAGGUACAUACGGGGGUAUUGCUGUACUCAGCCGACAUAGCUGAGCAACAUAUGAAGUAUUAUACAGUCAUAGCACACAUAAGGUUUGCAAAAUAUGCUGCGCAAACUCACUUUGUAUGUCAAAAAGGCAGAAAAAAUGCUUAUUACCACUACACUUGGUACAAGCUAGCGGAAAAAUGAUCCCACGCUAAGGUUCAAAAUAUGCCUUUUGAAAUACCCUGGGAUGUCUUCUUUAAGAAAUGGUAUGGCUUUAUGGGGAAUUUGGAUUAUAUAGCCUGGUAAAAUACUCUAAAAUGGGACAUAGGCACAGCAUAAAAAUUCAAAGUUUGAAAAAAACUGGAAUGGCUGUGUCCCAAAUGUGCCCCUCCGAUGUCCACACAUACCUGGCAAAGGUACAUACGGGGGUAUUGCUGUACUCAGCCGACAUAGCUGAGCAACAUAUGAAGUAUUAUACAGUCAUAGUACACAUAAGGUUUGCAAAAUAUGCUGCGCAAACUCACUUUGUAUGUCAAAAAGGCAGAAAAAAUGCUUAUUACCACUACACUUGGUACAAGCUAGCGGAAAAAUGAUCCCACGCUAAGGUUCAAAAUAUGCCUUUUGAAAUACCCUGGGAUGUCUUCUUUAAGAAAUGGUAUGGCUUUAUGGGGAAUUUGGAUUAUAUAGCCUGGUAAAAUACUCUAAAAUGGGACAUAGGCACAGCAUAAAAAUUCAAAGUUUGAAAAAAAACUGGAAUGGCUGUGUCCCAAAUGUGCCCCUCCGAUGUCCACACAUACCUGGCAAAGGUACAUACGGGGUAUUGCUGUACUCAGCCGACAUAGCUGAGCAACAUAUGAAGUAUUAUACAGUCGUAGCACACAUAAGGUUUGCAAAAUAUACUGUGCAAACUCACUUUGUAUGUCAAAAAGGCAGAAAAAAAGCUUAUUACCACUACAUCUGGUACAAGCUAGCGGAAAAAUGAUCCCACGCUAAGGUUCAAACUAUACCUUUUGAAACACCCUGGGGUAUCUACUUUAAGAAAUGGUAGGCCUUUGUGGGGUAGUUUGAAUUUAAAACCUGCGAAGAUGCUUGGAAAUUGCACAAAAUUCAAAGUUUGGUAAAAACGGAUAUGGCUUGGUCUGCUAUAUGGCACUGUAGCUUCACGAAAUAGUGCCAAAGACAUUCAUAUGGGGUGUCAUUUUACUCAGAAGACUUAGCUGAGCAUAAUUUGGGGGGUUUGAACUUAGUGGCACAUAUGAAAUAUACAAAACGCCCAGCAAAAAUGCAAUCCGUAUGUAAAAAAUGCACAAAAUUAUUUUUUACCACAUACUUUGGCAUAUAUUGGUGAAAAAAUGGGGGCAUGUUAAGGCACAAUAUGCACCUUAUAAGAUACCCUGGAGUGUCUACUUUUACAAAUGGUAGGCCUUUGUGGGGGUUUUUGAACAGUCAAACUGUUAUAAUACCCCAAAUGGAAGCUAAGGCUCAUUAAAUCCAUCUCUCAAAAUUCUACUGUGAAUACUGUAAAGGACAGGUCUCCUAUAUGGCACUGUAGCUUCACGAAAUAGUGCCAAAGACAUUCAUAUGGGGUGUCAUUUUACUCAGAAGACUUAGCUGAGCAUAAUUUGGGGGGUUUGAACUUAGUGGCACAUAUGAAAUAUACAAAACGCCCAGCAAAAAUGCAAUCCGUAUGUAAAAAAUGCACAAAAUUAUUUUUACCACAUACUUUGGCAUAUAUUGGUGAAAAAAUGGGGGCAUGUUAAGGCACAAUAUGCACCUUAUAAGAUACCCUGGAGUGUCUACUUUUACAAAUGGUAGGCCUUUGUGGGGUUUUUUUUAACAGUCAAACUGUUAUAAUACCCCAAAUGGAAGCUAAGGCUCAUUAAAUCCAUCUCUCAAAAUUCUACUGUGAAUACUGUAAAGGACAGGUCUCCUAUAUGGCACUGUAGUUUCACGAAAUAGUGCCAAAGACAUUCAUAUGGGGUGUCAUUUUACUCAGAAGACUUAGCUGAGCAUAAUUUGGGGGUUUUGAACUUAGUGGCACAUAUGAAAUAUACAAAACGCCCAGCAAAAAUGCAAUCCGUAUGUAAAAAAAUGCACAAAAUAAUUUUUUACCACAUACUUUGGCAUAUAUUGGUGAAAAAAUGGGGGCAUGUUAAGGCACAAUAUGCACCUUAUAAGAUACCCUGGAGUGUCUACUUUUACAAAUGGUAGGCCUUUGUGGGGGUUUUUUGAACAGUCAAGCUGUUAUAAUACCCCAAAUGGAAGCUAAGGCUCAUUAAAUUCAUCUCUCAAAAUUCUACUGUGAAUACUGAAAAGGACAGGUAUCCUGUAUGGCACUGUAACUUCACGAAAUAGUGCAAAAGACAUACAAUGGGGUGUCAUUUUACUCAGCAGAUGUAACUGAACACAAAAUAAAACUUUGUACAGGAAUAGCACACACCAACUUUACAAAAUAUACACGAGAAUUUCUCUGUUAUAAGUUUGUGUGCCAAAAACCAAAAAGAACACAAUUUUACUCCAAUAUUUAGCAGAGGUUGGCAGUGAAAUGGCUACGUAAAAAGUGUCAAAACAACCUUAGGUAAAUAGCCCGUGAUGUCUACUUUAUAUAAAUAUAUACUUUUGUGUGGCAAUUUUGUUUUCUUUUAUGGCUAUUAAGCUUACAAGACAAACAUACCAAAUUCUAAAAUCGCUCCACAUUAAAAGUUUAUUUUGCUCCUUGUGCUUUGUGACCUGUAACUACCAAAAAAAACUUAAAAUCCCAGACACAUUAUAUAUUCUGUAAAUCAGAACAAAUAAAUAAAUUUAUUUUUAAUUACUUUCCUUAACCUGCACUAAAUAUGCACACAUUAUUAUUGCAAAAACUGUAAAAAAAAACAAUAUUUUUCAUUUUUUUUGCAUUUUUCUGUAUUUUUUUUAUAAUAAGUAAGCAUUUAUAUAUAUAUAUAUAUGUUAUAUCAAAUUAAAGCCCUUUCUGUCCUUUAAAAACAGUAUAUAAUAUGUGUCGGUGCAAUAAAUGAGAGAGAUGCAAAUUGCAGUUGAACGCAAACAGCAAGAAAAUGCAAAAAAUUGCUUGUGUCAUUAAGCGUAAGUCAAGCUUCUGAAGCUGUGUCCUUAAGGGGUUAANNNNNNNNNNNNNNNNNNNNNNNNNNNNNNNNNNNNNNNNNNNNNNNNNNNNNNNNNNNNNNNNNNNNNNNNNNNNNNNNNNNNNNNNNNNNNNNNNNNNCUUUGAAAAGGCCUCUCUUUUAUCCUAUGUAAUACCAGAAGUAUAAUUUCAAAGAUGAAUGAAUUAAAAGUGCGGUGUCUCAAGUAGAAGCCCAAUAUAUUUUUUUCUAACCUGUUGGAGCCCCAAAAUGCUAAUCAUUGCUACAGCCACCCAUCAUUAUUAAUGCUAUAGACAGGAUUGUGCAAAGGCAGAGCAGGAUUCACCAUAACGUGACAUUACGCAGCAGUCCAGGACGUAUGGGAUUGAUAGCGGCCCCAGCACCAUAAAUGUGCUUGGUCCCAUUCACAAUCCCUGUGUAGAAUUAACUGAUAACCUACCUAGCAGCCUGCAGGAUCUUAAACCUUCUCUGAAGAGAGCUGAAGGUCAUGCAAUAUAUGUAGAUGAAUCAAUACCCAUUUCUAUUUUAAAUAACUCCUGCUCCCAUUCCACCGUCACCUCUGUCGUCAUCAUUAUCAAACUACCUUACCUAAAACCAGUUGUUAUAUAAUACAAAUAGUGAAUCGAGUGCUAAAUCAGUUCCGUAGGUGUGUAGCCACAACAAUCCUGCCAAGGGUCUCAUGUGAUAAUUUGGUGGAGAAUCCUUCUAUAUAUAGACCAAUAGGUGUGUAGAAAGCAACUUAUAUUGAAUGGAGUUUUACACCAGCUCAGAAAUAAUGAGCCUGGGUGGAACAAUCCCCAUCUGAGGAUAUAUGUAAUAUCUUCCACUAUGGUACGUGGAAUCUCCCUCUGACAAAUAAUAAUUUGUUCAGUCUAUCGUCAAAUCCUGUCGUUUCCAUCUCAAAAACAUUGCGCGCAUCCGCCCCUACUUAACGCCAGAUGCGAUUAAGGUGAUGGUCCAUUCCACUGUCCUUUCUCGCCUUGACUACUGUAAUCCGCUUCUCAGUGGUCUUACGUGCUCCCAACUUGCACCAUUACAGUCCAUAAUGAAUACUGGGGCGAGGCUCAUCUUCCUGCCUGCCCGCACCUCCCACGCCUCACCCUUCUGUCAGUCCCUACAUUGGCUUCCUAUAAGAUAUAGGGUUCAAUUUAAAAUUCUGGUUCUUGCUUUCAAAUCUCUACAUAAUGCUGCUCCCACCUAUCUAUCCUCCCUUAUACACAAGUAUGUCCCAUCUAGGCACUUACGAUCUGCUGAAGACUUACGUCUAUCUUCUGUCUGUACUCCCAUCUCUGAUGCUCGCCUUCAAGAUUUCUCAAGGGCUGCACCGUUCCUGUGGAACUCGCUUCCCUCCUCCGUUAGAUGCUCACCCAGUCUCUAUUCCUUCAAAAAAAUCUUUCAAAAAAACAACUUCUUCAUAAAAGCAUAUCAAUUAAACUGUUAAUAGCUCCUGACUAGUGAUGUACCGAACGGUUCGCUGGCGAACGGUUCCCGCGAACAUAGCAUGUUCGCGUUCGCCACGGCGGGCGAACAUAUGCGCGGUUCGACCCAACCCCUAUUCGUCAUCAUUGAAUAAACUUUGACCCUGUACCUCACAGUCAGCAGACACAUUCCAGCCAAUUAGCAGCACACCCUCCCUAGCAGACCCUCCCACCUCCUGGAAGGCAUCCAUUUUAGAUUCAUUCUCAAGCUGCAUGCUUAGUAAGAGGAGGGAAAGUGUAACUGCUGUUCAUAAGAUAGGGAAAAGCAUAGCUAGGUUAGGGAUAAGGGUAUGCUUUUUUUUUAAUUUUUUUUUUCUAUGUAAUGUAAUUGCACUUAGUUGUCUGCCACUGCUGCCAGCUUCUGUGUCAGGCUCACAGUGCAUACUGUGCCCAUUCCCCAGUCAGUGCCACCACUUACAUCUGGUGUCACAAUAGCUUGGAUUUAAAAACAAAAAACUUUUUUCACUGUUAUAGAUUGAAUAGCAGUCAGUGUCCUUAAAGCGGGUGUGUCAGACUCACAGUGGAUACUGUGCCCAGUGCCACCACUCACUCACUGGUGUCACAAUAGCUUGCAUUUAAAAACAAAAAACUUUUUUCACUGUUAUAGAUUGAAUAGCAGUCAGUGUCCUUAAAGCGGGUGUGUUACGCUAACAGUGGAUACGGUGACCAGUGCCACCACUUAUAUCUGGUGACACAAUGGCUUGGAUUUAAAAAAAAAACACUUUUUUCACUGUUAUAGAUUGAAUAGCAGUCAGUGUCCUUAAAGCGGGUGUGUUACGCUAACAGUGGAUACGGUGACCAGUGCCACCACUUAUAUCUAGUGUCACAAUAGCUUGGAUUUAAAAACAAAAAACUAUAUUCACUGUUAUAGAUUGAAUAGCAGUUAGUUAUGUUCAAGCAGGUGUGUUACGCUAACAGUGGAUACGGUGACCAGUGCCACCACUUAGAUCUGGUGUCACAAUAGCUUGGAUUUAAAAACAAAAAACUUUUUUCACUGUUAUAGAUUGAAUAGCAGCUCGCGUCCUGAAGCCGGUGUGUUACGCUAACAGUGGAUACGGUGACCAGUGCCACCACUUAUGGUGUCACAAUAGCUUGAUUUAAAAAACAAAAACUUUUUCACUGUUAUAGAUUGAAUAGCAGUCAGUGUCCUAAAGUGGGUGUGUUACGCUAUCAGUGGAUACGGUGACCAGUGCCACCAAUUAGAUCUGGUGACACAAAGCUUGGAUUUAAAAAAACAAAACACUUUUUUCACUGUUAUAGAUUGAAUAGCAGUCUGUGUCCUUAAAGCGGGUGUGUUACGCUAACAGUGGAUACGCUGACAAGUGCCACUAAUUAGAUCUGGUGUCACAAUAGUUUGGAUUUAAAAACAAAAAACUUUUUUUACUGUUAUAGAUUGAAUAGCAGUCAUUGUCCUUAAAGCGGGUGUGUUACGCUAACAGUGGAUACGCUGACAAGUGCCACUAAUUAGAUCUGGUGUCACAAUAGUUUGGAUUUAAAAAAAAAAUAAUCUUUUUUCACUGUUAUAGAUUGAUAGCAGUCAGUGUCCUUAAAGCGGGUGUGUUACGCUAACAGUGGAUACGCUGACAAGUGCCACUAAUUAGAUCUGGUGUCACAAUGGCUUGGUUUUAAAAACAAAAAACUUUUUUUACUGUUAUAGAUUGAAUAGCAGUCAGUGUCCUUAAAGCGGGUGUGUUACGCUAACAGUGGAUACGGUGACCAGUGCCACCACUUAGAUCUGGUGACAAUAGCUUGGAUUUAAAAACAAAAAACUUUUUUCACUCUUAUAGAUUGAAUAGCAGUUAGUUAUCUUCAAGCAGGUGUGUUACGCUAACAGUGGAUACGGUGACCAAUGCCAACACUUAGAUCUGGUGUCACAAUAGCUUGGAUUUAAAAACAAAAAACUUUUUUCACUGUUAUAGAUUGAAUAGCAGUUAGUGUCCUUAAAGCGGGUGUGUUACGCUAACAGUGGAUACGCUUACCAGUGCCACCAAUUAGAUCUGGUGACACCAAGCUUGGAUUUAAAAAAACAAAACACUUUUUUCACUGUUAUAGAUUGAAUAGCAGUCAGUGUCCUUAAAGCGGGUGUGUUACGCUAACAGUGGAUACGCUGACCAGUGCCACUAAUUAGAUCUGGUGUCACAAUAGCUUGGAUUAAAAAAAAAAAUAAUCUUUUUUCACUGUUAUAGAUUGAAUAGCAAUCAGUGUCCUUAAAGUGGGUGUGUCAGCCCUACAGCGUGUACUCUGCCAGUUUACAGUGCCACUCAUAUCAUACCACCAGAAUGCCGUCAUUGCAGAGCUCUGCAGUGUGGCAUUUUUUUUGUGUGUCUGCCUCUGACAACAGCGAUGCCAUUUGCAACCUGUGCCAAAAGAAACUGAGUCGUGGAAGUCCAACACCCACCUAGGUACAACUGCUUUGCGUAGGCACAUGAUCUCACAUCACAAACGCCUAUGGGAUCAACACAUGAGUACAAGCAGCUCGCCUACUCUAAGCCGCCAGCCUCCUCCUGGUCCAGCAUCUUCAGCCACGUCAACCACUGCUGUCCUCCUUGUCCCUUCUCAACCAUCCGCCACUCCGCCUCCCGCCUUGAGCAGUUCACGCUCAUCUUCCAUAACCUCCUCGGCUGAGUCCUCUUCUGAUGCUGCGUCUUGCUCUACAUCAACGGAUAGGGGACGUAACAGUGAUUAAACUGAUAACAAUAGUACUAAACACACCACUCCUAUCUGGUGGCACAUUAGAUUGCACGCGCAGUGCCCCAAAUUUGUUGUGAUCUGUGAGUAAGGUAAACGGUUGUCCAUACAAGUGGGUUGCAGCUUUUUGAGGGCCCACACCACCGCUAUGCACUCCUUUUCAAUGGCAGUGAAUAUACUUCGCUGUGCAAAAGUUUACGGCUUAGAUAAGCUCCGGGUUGCUAGCCACCAUCUGCUCCGACUUGGCUCAAUACUGCUCCCAAUCCAAGCAUAGAAGCGCCUGUAUGGACGAGAAAGUGUUUAGUUGGAUCAGGAGAAGAAAGUACAGGUGAUUUAAUGAGCGCCGUCUUGAGCUGUUGGAAGGCCUGUUCACAUUCUGGGGCCCAUACUACUAUCUUGGGGAGGAUUUUACACGUUCCUAUAUGGCACUUACUGGGCUUUAGGGUCAGUCCGGACUCCCUAAUCCGGUCUAUUACGGCUCCUAUGUGGGUCAGGUGUUCGGGCCAGGAGCAGCUAAAAUGUCUAUACCAUCCAAGUAGGUGUGUAUCAGUGUGUAUCAGGGAUCCUUAGGACAGGUGUCAAUCCAUAUCUGCCAAGUGACCCUAUGUAGGGGGAACAGUCUCUAUUCUGCUCUGUGUCAGUGUGUAUCAUGGUCUCUGAGGACAGGUGUCAAUCCAUACCUGCCAAGUGACAAUAUGUAGGGGUAACAGUCUCUAUUCUGCUCUGUGUCAGUGUGUAUCAUGGUCUCUGAGGACAGGUGUCAAUCCAUAUCUGCCAAGUGACCCUAUGUAGGGGAACCAGUCCCUAUUCUGCUCUGUGUCAGUGUGUAUCAGGGAACCUUAGGACAGGUGUCAAUCCAUAUCUGCCAAGUGACCCGAUGUAGGGGAACAGUCCCUAUUCUGCUCUGUGUCAGUGUGUAUCAGGGAUCCUUAGGACAGGUGUCAAUCCAUAUCUGCUAAGUGACCCUAUGUAGGGGGACCAGUCUCUAUUCUGCUCUGUGUCCGUGUGCAUCAGGGGCUCUGAGGACAGGUGUCAAUCCAUAUGUCAAGGUGUCAAUAUGUCAUAUGUCAGGUGUCAAUCCAUAUUGAUUGUGAUUUAGGAAUGUUAGGUGAUUUCUGCCCUUUAUGGAUUAAACCAGACUCUGUAUCAACUGUGUAAUUUUCCAUGGGAGUUUUGCCAUGGAUCCCCCUCCGGCAUGCCACUGUCCAGGUGUUAGUCCCCUUGAAACAACUUUUCCAUCCCUAUUGUGGCCAGAAAGAGUCCCUGUGUGUUUUAAAAUUCGCAUGCCCAUUGAAGUCAAUGGCGGUUCGGGCGGUUCGCAAACAUUUGCGGAAGUUCGCGUUCGACGUUCGCGAACCGAAAAUUUCGGGUUCGCGACAUCACUAAUUGAGAGGUGUCUGCGGUUAACCACAACAUUCUAGUUGGGAUCAAGAGGUUAACCAGCAGCACACUUCUCUUCUGGGUGGCCUUCUGUUCGGUAAGUUCAUUCGGUAGAAAAGUCAAAUAAACGAACAGGGGCAUACGGACAGGUAAUUCCGCGAAAAAUGGCAAAACAGAUGAACCAGCAAUCUUAGUCUAUACAGAUGGAUCUGUCACAACUAGCAUAGUUCACGGUCUAUCUAUUUUACUUACAUGUCGACCGUGAUACCAUACCACAAAUAACAUUUUCUGCUAGCCCUUGUCUAUAGCGAUUUCACAAUGGUUUUUGGUUAAUAGCUACCUUAAGAAUACCUAUGGUGGGAGGUGCUGGAGAACUACAGUACAGGGAGAGUUUUUAGCAUUAAGGGGUGCCCACGAAGGCACAGUAGGGAAAUGUAUAUCUAGAUAGAGGAACACACUCCCCCCUUUCUCCCUGACUUACCUUCAAGCAAGCCGAUACUGAUAUUAUUACUCUGUUGUAUACAUUGUUGCAUCACAAAAUGCAACACUUACCUUCUCAGUCUGUUAGCAAUUUACCACUUAUAGUUACAUUUUAAUGUGAAUAUCUGUGAGCUUAUUUAGAUCUGAUAGAGGUGAGGUCACUUCUACAUGCUUUUUACUUAUUGUGUGUUUAGUAGUGGACAGUCUUAUCUUCUUGAAGGUGGUAACUUGGCAAUCAUGCUAUCACCGUUUAGUAAACUUUCCCCAUUAGACAACUGAUUGUUUGCUGUCUCUGUUUCUUGUUUUGUUCUGUAUCUUUUUCUUGUUUGAGUAUUUGUAUUACACAUUGAGUCCAAAAGUGGUUGGACUUUUUACCUAGUGUUUAGUAAAAGUUAAGUUUUUAUUACUGUUGCCUAUCUAGCUAUAUGUAGUAUUCCACAUUAAUACUCUUUAGCAAUAUUUCAUCUUCCUACUCUCUCUUUUUGUUGUUUUGUUAACUUUAUAUAGGGGUUACAUCCCAGUUAGGAGGAGCUGUAGAUAUUGGCUCUCCCCUUCUUUUUCUUUCUCUUUUUAGGGUUAACAGAUAAGACCGGUUAACCGGUAAGGUUAACAGAUAAGGUUUCAUAGAAAAUAGGCACCAUUCUUGCAGAGGGUCUUAAAUAUCAUGUGUGAAGAUCUCAGAGUAAGGGGGGAGAGAGAAAUACAAGCAAACAGUGCAGAAAAUGGUGCUAGAAGGGGAGAGUAAAAUCAAUAGCUUACACUUAACUUAUGACCCUCAGGUAGGGUCCUACCUGAGGUUCCUCAGAGUGCAACAGCUCCAUCCUCUGGGAUUGCAUUAGGGUGGUUACUAGUAGUGUCUCUUCUGUGUUCGGUGAUGCGAACUGUGAUGUUAGGCAGCCCAAGUCGUUCCCUAAAAGUACUUUGGCUGGUAAGUGUUGCAUAAUCCUGACAUCCAGGUACUUGACCCCCGAAUCCCAGUUGAGAUGGACUCGGGCGGUCGAUAGUUUGUGGAUAGCGUCUCAAGGUUCUACUUAGGGGGUUAAUAUUGUGUGGCUAUACCAAGGUCAAAGUUGUGCCGGUAUUCCUUAGUCCUCAUGCUUCUUGUCUGUGAUGUUCCUGGUUGUCACUAGCCACUUGUAUGUGGUUUACCUCAUGUACUACUGUCUAUAGCUCCACGGGGAAACUUGGCAUAGCUCAGGGCUCCUCUUGGUAGCAAUGAGCGGCUGCCCAAAGCGGGUUGAGAUUGGGUACGGUCACAUACUCCUUGAUUUCGAAGUGGGUAAGUGUUCUUAAAGUGACCCAGCUGAUUGCACCCAUGGAAUAAUGGUCCGGUCCUCUGGAAAAGUGCAGGUGUGGGUGCGGAAGGAGUUGGUCGAUUUGGUGGUGGGGCUGGCCUGUCCACUUUUACCAGUUGUCUGUGAUGUUCCUGGUUGUCACCAGACGCUUGUAUGGGGUUUACCUCAUGUAGUCCUCUGUCCAUUGCUCCUCGGGGCAACUUGACUUAGCUUGGGGCUCCUCUUGGUAGCAAUGAGCGGCUGCUCAGAGCGGGUUGAGAUUGGGUAUGGUCCCAUAUUCCUCAAUUCUGAAGUGGGCAAGUGUUUAUAAAGUGUCCCAGCUGAUUGAACCCAUGGAAUAAUGGUCCGGUCCACCGGAACGGUGCCGGUGCUGGUGUGGGUGGAGUUGGUGGUGGGGCUGGCUGUGCAUGAUAGGUGGGCCGAAUAGGUGGAUGUCCUCUGAUGGGUUUGGUUCUUUGGCCAUCCUGGAAUUUGUCAGCCAGACAAGCAGCUUCUUCUACGGUAAGAGGCUUUGAUCCCGUACCCAGUCUCGGACCUCCGGCGGUGUGUGUUCUAAAAAUUGCUCCAACAACAUCAUCAAUUGCAUUGCAUCAGCUAAGGUGGUUGCCUGACAUCCUGGUAUCAAUUUUGGGCUGUCCCGUGCAUCCAAAAUGCACAUUCGGAAAAAUCCGGAGUCCUUGUUGCCUUUUCGUAAUCCGCAGGAUUUCCUUCAGUAGGCUUCGGAUGUUACUCAUAAUGGUGAAUAUCCGAGUUGGGUACUGCCCGGUAUGCUUCGGCUGCUCUACCAGAAAACUUGCUGCUCAGAAUGGCUGCCCAGUUACUUUUUCGUCUUUCGUCUUAUUACUUGCCGAACAUCCUCAAGCUUCCAGUAGGUCUUUCAGGGUUGUUCGCUGAGAAGAAUCCCACCUCUGCCACCAGAUGUGAUGAACCAUAUGUACCCAGAGUGGUAUGUUCGUCUGAAGAUCUCCCAAACUCCUGCAAGGCUCCAGUGAAUAUAGCACUCUCUCUAUCUAGCCUAAACUGGUUUUAUUUAGGCCAAGUUGCCUGUUUAUAUACACAACCCCCAGCAUGGGAUCUCCAUUCAAUACAGUACAAACCCCUCCCAGGAAUCUCUGCGUCUGGGAGAUAAUUGAGGCAAAUUAUCUCUCAGUUACAGAGAACCAUACAUAAAAUACAAAAAGGUUAAAAUAAAAAAUAAUAGAGGCUACCAGGUGAAAGGGGACACCGGGACUCACUCAAACAUACCCUCCAAGUGACUACUGCCCGGCAUACACCCGAUACCCUGGCGAGGCCACCCAGCAUGGCGGGCGCCGGAGAGACGGCCGCUCUCCUGCUGCCAGGAACGGCGGGAAAUUUGCCACGAGCUCUCGUUUCCCCCCCUUUGGACCGGCGGGGGUUAUCCCGGGCCACCCCCACACAAACCCCCUGACAAGAGGAAACCUGGCAAACCGAACAGGCAAUAUGGGGGUUGCUGGCGAGGCCUACAAAAUGGCGGACGGCACACAUAAAUGCAGCCCUAAGCAAAGCCUGGAGGGACACAGAGCUCCGACUAAACAGCAUAUUCAACUCCUUCUGGGUGAAGCUGGAGAAGCUCUUAUGGCCCCCGGAAUCAAAGAACCUGGCUGAUGGCACACCACAAAGCCCACCACGGGACGCACAACAGGGAGACAUGACACACUCAGACUCCCACCCCAAGCCAAACAAGCAUCCGAGAAGAAACACCCCGGCAACAGAUGCCCAGAGCAAUGCUAACAGCAGACGCAACCUGACAAAGGAGAGGAACACCAACGAGAUCCCAACAACACAGCGCCAAAAACCACCUCACUUGCCAGCAGCGUCCCAGCAAGAAGGGCAAAGGCCAACACAAAAAAACAAGAAUAAGGCAAAACAGCAACAGCGGCAGCCGACGACCACACCAAAAAGUGUGACCCACAACUGGGACUAUACCUUACCUGCAAAGAGGGUCACUUCACCGUACAAAGACACUCUUCUCCCACAAUACUAAACCACAGGCACCGAAGCGUGCACCAGCACAAGAUCACAACGGCAACAUGCGGGACUUCCCCAUUAUGGGCAUAGGCUGAAUCAUCCACUACACAGCCCCACAAGAUCCAUACCUUAUUUGCUUCGGGUACUNNNNNNNNNNNNNNNNNNNNNNNNNNNNNNNNNNNNNNNNNNNNNNNNNNNNNNNNNNNNNNNNNNNNNNNNNNNNNNNNNNNNNNNNNNNNNNNNNNNNGAUCUACCUGACCAGGUUUGAGGGGAUUAAUGCAGACUUACUUUUCUUUUUGCUUUUUAUUCCUGUACUCAGCCUCGCGCACACUUACACCCACUGACCACCCAGAUGUUGAUCCCCAUAACAUACUCCACAAAGCCUACACCCCCUGGCCACAUACCAGAACGAUCAUACAAAGUCAUUCCUGUUUAAAUCAAACUUCGGUGGCUAUCCACUUGUUGCCUGAUUAGCUUUUGACACAGCAUGAUAAUCUCCUGUAUAGAAAGUAAAGCGAUGUUAUUUUAUGUUAUGAAAAUGCUUCAGCAAAGUAACUAUACUGUUUACAUCCCUACAAAAAUGUGCUAGAUCUACCUUGUAUCUCAAUGCUCAAUGUUCAUAAAGUGCUGGAGGAUUGCCUUUGGGGUACCUCAUGUGCAACUGUUAUAAGCGUAUGCACUACAAAAAUAAAGAAUAAAAAAAAAAAUAAGAUUUCGAGGAAGUUCCUGAACCCCUGAACUGAUCUGGGUGAUUUUUGGAUGUGUUGGUCAUCCAGAUCAGGGCUAUCAGGUAACUUUUGUGGGGUUUUGUGUGUUUUAAGAUAUUUUGGGGGGUUUGUAAAAAUGUAUGUUUUUUUCUUUUGGGAGAUAAUUGGAUUAGAUUAGUACAGUUCCUGAUCCAAUUAACUCCCAGGCACAGAGGAAGGAUUAUCUGAUUUUGUGUGGGAGUGUCUUGGACCUGAGAGCCAAUAUAAUUGUGCAUAUGGUUUUACUGUAGUCUACUCUCAGGUCCCCUUCCAUGGGGACUGUCAUAAAAGGCCAGUUGUGGUCUACCAUUAAACUGAGAUUAAUUUUACCCUUCAUGAAGUCUAGGCUCAUGUUUGGGGGAUUGGAGAGCUAUAUUCACAGUCUGGGGAUUGCUAUAAUCACUAUACUCCCUUGGAUCACAACACCUGCUCUUAUAAGAGCAGCCUGCUUCGUUCUCUGGACUAGGAGAGGUCUCCCCACUGGAAGUUGGAUCCUGGUCUUGGAUCCAGGGUGGGUGGAGGGCAGCAAGACCCCAACCAAGCUGCAGCGAUUUGUGGGGUUCGUGGUGGUUAUGGUGUUCCAGUGCAGUGCUUAUGGUGCUCGCAAGUACUAGGAAGCAGCGAUUGAUGGAGGUACCCGGUCGGGGUGCCAGGUGCUCCGCCACAUCUAGGGUUAGGGCUAGGGUUAGGAUUCCUGUCAUUAUUCCCUUCAUUUUCCCUCCCUCUCCUGUUUUGCCACUUUUCACAAAUCCGAAAAAAAAACCACUUCUGAAAUUCGGCACUUCGGCAAUUCGGUUCUGUUUGGCACUUCGGAAAUUCGGCACUUCGGAAAUUUGGCAAUUCAGACAUUUGGAAGCAUCUAAUUACAAUCAAUCAUCUUUUUUUCCUAUCUACUUUAGUUUUCUUUAAAACAUAAGACAAAGUAGGGACUACUACUAAUUUUCUCACAAUACUCACCCUUUCCUCCGUGAUCUUGCGAUGCCUCUUUCACUAUUCCAGAAUGUCUUGUCACUUAGACAGGAUGCCGGUGAAACUACCAAAUUUCACCCUUACAGAAUGAACAGUUUGUUCAUUCAUGUUAGGAUGACAUUCCGUACUUUUAGUCCGAUUUGAAAUUUCCAUCUGAUCCAUGCUGUGGCUACAUCUUGCAUCUGACCCCCACCCAUGAGCGGCGGGUGGGGGCCCUAAAUGACAAUACUGGGGACCCUUUUGUCCCCCCCGGGCCCAACCCAUGAGCGGCAGGUGGGGGCCCUAAAAAUAAUGGGUGUAAUUAUGUGUGUGAGGGGUGCUGUGGAGGCGCAUUUUGUUUUUUUGCUGAAAGUAAUGGCUUUCUUCUGGCCACUCUGCCAUAAAGCCCAACUCUAUGGAGCGUAUGGCUUAUUGUCGUCCUAUGUACAGAUAUUCCAGUCUCUGCUGUGGAAUUCUGCAGCUCCUCCAGGGCUACCUUAGGUCUCUGUGCUGCCUCUUUGAGUUUUGGUGGGCGGCCGUCUCUUGGCAGGUUUGCUGUUGUGCCAUGUUCUUUCCAUUUGGUUAUGAUAGAUUUGAUCAUUAAAGAUUUGGAUAUUUUUUUAUAACCCAGGGCUUGACAAAUUUGUUUGGAAUCUAGGAGCCAGCUAAACAAGUUAGGAGCCAGUAAUUUUCAAUGAGAAAAUGCAAUUCUUAAAGGGAUUCUAUAGUCACCAGAACCACUACAGUUUGAUGUAGUUGUUCUGGUAUCUAUAGCCUAUCCCUGCAAGCGUUUUAGUGUAAACGCUGCCUUUUCUGCAAAAAAGCAGAAUUUACAUUGCUGCUUAGCAACACCUCUAGUGACAGUCACUCAGACGGUCACUAGAGAGUCCUGGGUCACUGCUGCACCACAUGCAGCACCCAGGUUCAGUAUCUCCAAGCUUGCAUGGAGGUGCUGAAUGUUCCUCAUAGAGAUCUCUAUGAGGAGAUGUGGAUUGGUACAUUUGCUGCGCAUGCACAAAAUCCUCCCAAUGCUUUCUUAAGGGAAAGCUGUGGCUUAGCUGUGAUCAUAAAGAUCAUGGGGAAACUAACAUGGAGUGAGAAAAUGGGGAAAAAAGGUGAGUAAAAACUAUCGUAGGGGCAGGUACCUAAACGCGCACACACACUGACAGGCUCACAUACACACUUACGCUGACAACAGGCUUGCACACACAAACUCUUGACAGACACACACACUCCUGACAGGCUCAUAUACACUCUUAUGCUGACAACAGGCUUGCACGCACACACUCUGACAGACUUACACACACACACACACACACACACAUAAGCGUUCACACACACAUAAACACAUUCUGAGAGGCUUGCACACACAUACAUACAGACAUUGACAGGCUCACACACACACUGACAGGUUUACACACACAUACAUACAGACACACUUACAGGCUCACACACACAUACAGCGACCUGGCACCUGGGAUUUGUCGAGCCCUGUUAUAACCUAACCCUGACUUGUACUUCUCAACAAUAUUGUCCCUUACUUGUCUGGAGAGUUCCUUGGUCUUAAUGGCAGUGUUUGGUUAGUGGUGCCUCUUGCUUAGGUGUUGCAGCCUCUGGGGCCUUUCAAAAAAGGUGAGUAUAUAUAAAGACAGAUCAUGUGAGACUUAGAUUGCACACAGGUGGACAUCAAUUCACUAAUUAUGUGACUUCUGAUAGUAAUUGCACCGGAGCUUUUUAUGGGCUUCAUAACAAAGGGGGUGAAUACAUAUGCACAUGCCAAUUCUCUGUUUUCUAUUUCUAAAAAAAGUUUUAUGUAUAUAUUUUUCUCAUUUCACUUCACCAACUUAGAAAAUUGUGUUCUGAUCCAUCACAUAAAAUUCAGAUUAAUAAAACAUUGAGCUUAAGGCUGUAAAGUAACAAAAUAGGUAAAAAGUCAAGGGGGUGAACACGGUAGGAGUAAUUAAAGCAUAAUUUUAUUUUUUUACUAUUUAAAAAAAAUGCAUAAAUAAACUUUAUGUCCUCUCUCCACUCUUCUUACCUUUUCCUCAGGGAGGGGGGAUGUUGCCCUGGGGGUCCAGUGGAGGUGAGCAGCACUAUCCUACCUGCAGCUCCAUUAACUGCAGGCAGAGUUCAGUCCUUCCGUGUGAUCUUUAGAACAUUGCUGUUGUAACCAGCUGCAAUGCUCCGCCUCGAGGCUUCUCCUUCCUUUUCCUGAAGGCCUCCUGUCAGUGUCUGAGGGAGAUCUCGGAUAGCGCUGACUCUGCAUGGGCUGGCAGGGGAGAUCCUGUGAUCUCUGCCCCUGGCCAUUGUGACCCACCGGGCAUUUGCAUGGUGUGCUCGAUGGCCAGUAUGGGCUGCUUUCCAAACUUGUGUGGCCUCCAUCACCAAAAUUAUUUUGUGUAAGGGGUUCAGAGGGGAUUCCCCUUCUUUAUAGGUGUGCUGCCUUAUCGUUAUAUUCCCUGUUUUCCUAUCAGUGCUGAACCUCCUUCAUGAUUCCGAUUACAUUUAAAAUAGGCCAAUGUCUAAGUAGGAUAUCUAUAAUUUCAUCAAAUGCACAGAUGAUCACAGUCGAGAAGAAGGGCCCCUUGUUUUGAGAUAUAUUCCUCAGACGACUGUGCCGUCUGACUCAGGUAUCUGGGGGUUGAGCUCGCUGGGCACUAUACAGCUUCAAGCAUCGAUACACCAUUUACCUCACAUACUACAGCAUCCUUAUUUGUGAAGGGGACCCCCACGAUAUACUCUCUUUUACCAUUUCAUUUAUAUUGAUAUUUAUAUUGCUGUUUGAGUUAUAUGAUUAUUGAGCUGCCUUGUCUCUCUUUUUAGCUCAUUUUUCAGGUCACUACAUUUGUGCAAUUCACCACUUAGCCUAUAUACCCCUGAUUUUCAUCUGGUUUACUUUCCCUUACAAGGGUGUAUUCCCACAUAAAUUUUUUGGUGUUACAACAUUGAUCCAGCCUAUGUAGUUGUUACCCACUACAUGGACACAUUAUAUUGCUACAUCCUGGUUCUAGUUGUUUUGACAGCAUUAGGACCUUGAAUGUUGCAAAGUAUAAUUGGGUAUAAUUUGAAUUAUAUAUUUUGUGGCUUUUUUGAUUUUGACUUCGGAUUUGUUACACACCAUAUUGUUACCUUCUGGUCCUAGUUGCUUCCACAGCAUUAGGACCUUGGAUUUUACAAUUUGUAUCUGUGAUUGAAGUGUUUUUAGUUUUUUUAGAUACUUUAUUAUAUAUUUUGUAUCAUUAUAUUUUACUAUCUUUAUUAUAUUAGUAAAACGUUUCCUGAAUUAUUACAAUAUGGUCACACUUUGUUACUAGGAGCGCUCACACUUCAUUUUUAUAUUUUACAACAGUAUGUAUUAUAAACACAUACAGAUGUAAUCAAAAUUAUUCAACACCUAUUGAAAAUUAGGUUGUCAAAAUUAACAGACUUUCAACUGUUUGCAAUGAACAAAUCAAACAAAAGCAAUUGAAAUAGCUCAACACAACGAAUGCUUCAAGUGGUUUCCCCAAAUUCAACUGAAAAUUCCACUUAUAAUGACUUCUCCUGUCUCAAAAUUAAUCAACCCCCCGAAUAGAAUGCCUCACAACAGCACAAAUAUGCAAAACAUGUGUUGUCUCAAGCAGCGGUGUAUCCUGGUUUUGUGCUGCCCUAGGCAUGACAAAAUUCAGGCAACCCCCCCGCCCUGCCUUCUAAAUGCACACUCACUGACAGACACAUAUACACUCCGUGUCAGACAUACACACUCACUGACAGACACACAUACACACUCUCACUAACAGACACCAUACACACACACUUACUAACAGACACACAUACACACUCACUAACAGACAUGCAUACACACUAACAGACACACACACUAACACACUCUCUAACAGACACACACUAACACUCUCACUAACAGACACACACAUAGUAACACUCCCUAACAGACACACACUAACAGACGCACACACAAACACACUCACAUUUUUUUAAAUUCAAUCCCCCCAGCCUCCCUACCUUCGGGAGUGCUGGGGUGGAUUCUCGCUUUCCCUGGGGUCCAGUGAGGCUGCUGGGCAGGCGGCCGGUCACUGCAGUCAACGGGGGAGCACUGAUCCUCCUGUUCAGCUACCUCGCGUGCCGUUUAGUGAUUUCGGAGCUGGAGUGAGGUCAUAUUCCGGCUCUGGCAUCACUGCGGUGUGCGUGAGGGAGCUGAACAGGAGGAUCAGUGCUCCCUUGGCGCCUGCCUGGAAAGUGCCGCCGCUGACAGUCUCGGGGGGCCCUGAGGUGGCAAGGCAUUUGCCAGGGCGAUUGGGGGGGGGGUGGUGGCUUUUUUUGCCCCACCCCCAGAAGUGCCGCCCAAGGCAAAUGCCUUGUCAGCCUCGCGGUAAAUACAUCCCUGGUCUCAAGCACACCUGAUGCAACUAAUCAAGGAUUCAACACAGUAAAAUUUAAUUAGAACUGUAUGUAAUUUUAAAAUGUCAAGAUUAUAAAAGCACAAUCACUCUACAUAAAAUGUAUCAAAACAUUAACAAAUCCUUGUUUUCCUUCUCAAAUUCAACAGCAAAAGUAGUUGACAAACCACUGAUAAUACUUCUCAGGAAAUUACUAAACACUAUUAAUACUAGUAAACUUAACAACAGUUAUAUGUAUGUGCAGGGGUCAAGUCCUGGGGAAAAAAGUGUGGGAACUCACCCAAGAUUCCCGCCGCCUCCCCCCCUUAAAAAAAAAAAAAUUACACUCCUAUGCAUGUAGUGCAGUGCAGGGUGUGUAUAAUGAAUGUAGUGUGUUUGUAGUGAAUGCAGAGUGUGUAUAAUGAAUGCAGUGUGUUUUUAGUGAGUGCAGAGUGUGUACACUGAAUGCAGUGUAUGUAGUGUGUUUGUAGUGAAUGCAGAGUGUGUAUAGUGAAUGUAGUGUGUAGUGAGUGCAGAAUGUGUAUAAUAAAUGCAGAGUGUGUAUAGUGAAUGCAGAGGGUGUAUAGUGAAUGUAGUGUGUUUGUAGUGAGUGAAGAGUGUGUAUAAUGAAUGCAGUGUGUGCGCGCUGGAUGACGUGUGUGUGAGUGCUGGAUGAUGUGUGUGCGAGUGCUGGAUGAUGUGUGUGUGUGUGCUGGAUGAUGUGUGUGUGUGUGUGCUGGAUGAUGUGUGUGUGUGUGUGUGCUGGAUGAUGUGUGUGUGUGUGCAUGUGCUGGAUUAUGUGUGUGUGAGUGCUGGAUGAUGUGUGUGAGUGCUGGNNNNNNNNNNNNNNNNNNNNNNNNNNNNNNNNNNNNNNNNNNNNNNNNNNNNNNNNNNNNNNNNNNNNNNNNNNNNNNNNNNNNNNNNNNNNNNNNNNNNGUUACAGGAAACAGAAACUCCGCGCGGAACAGAAAUUCCUGUUCCACGCGGAGUUUCUGUUUCCUGUAACCGGCCGGACUGACAGGAAGUGCACACAGUGUGCACCUUCCUAUGAGUCCGGCCGGGCACCGCGGACCAGCAAGCAGCGCGGCCACGCUACAGAGGAGGGGAGAAUAUGUGCUGCAGCCGCCUGAGGCUCUAAACAGAGCGCUCAGGCGACUGCAGCAUUUAAAGGGCCGGCCCUGCAGCGGCCGGUCCCAACAGAAUUUAGGGCGGCCUGGGGGGCAAUUGCCUCCCUGCCCCCCAGCCCAGCCCACCCCUGGGUCAGCACUUGGUUUUGCCUUAAUAUAUCUCACCCCAUAGAGUGUGAAAACUCAAGGUCGCAACAAGGGUGUCCUUUCUUGAUUCUUGCAGAAGGGCUCUGUUGCGGCUUCCGGGCCGCCAAAUGGCGCAGCCGUGCCCGACCGGCACGAUCUCGCCGAUAUUGCGAGCUUACCUGCUCGCCCGCGAGCCGGGAACCGCUCCUCCGCGUCUUCUGGGCGUUGCGCCCAAAUCAAAGAUGCGCUGACCACGUGGUCGUGCACACCACAAGCUCCGCCGCUCAAAUUUAUACGGACAUGCGCGUGACGUCACGACGUCAACACAAGCGCAUGUUCUGGGGUCAGAGGUCACCCACUGACCAAUCAGAGCCCAGAGAGGGAUAUUUAAAUCCCUAAUUCACUCCAGUUCCUUGCCCUGUUGUGGUUUCCUGUUCCUGGUUCCCGAGAGUGCGUUUAUCUUUGUGAAUAUUACUUCCUGGUAUCCUGAUCUUGGCUUUUCCCUGGUUAUUCCGAAUUCUGGUUUCCCUGACUUGGCUUGAUUAAAUGGUAUCUGAGUAGUUCUGGCUUCCUUGACCUCGGCUUUCCCUUUGACCAUUCUCUAUCUCUAGUGUAUUAGUCUGGCCAUUCUAAGGUCCAGUUUAUGCUCUGUCAUUUUAUUUCCUUUCCUUUUUUAUGUAUAUGUUUACAUAGUUUCUGCGUGUUGGACCACACUAGCAGCCAUGACACGCUCCUAGUUAAAGGGACACAAUAGGCACCCAGACCACUUCAGCUCAUGGAAGUGGUCUGGAUGCAAUAUUUCUAUCCCCUUGACCAGUGUUAAUUUUGGAGGCAAUUUUCUAUUUAGUUUUAGUCAUAGCCUUCUGACUAAAAUGCCUGUGGAGGACCACCGUACUCUCACCGUCAAGGAUUCCCUUUCCCGUAGUGUAAUAGUUCUUUCCAGAUUAAGUAGUGAUUAUAGCUGGUAUAGCUUCCCCCCCUACAUUAGUCAAGGCUUAAUGUUAGAAGUANNNNNNNNNNNNNNNNNNNNNNNNNNNNNNNNNNNNNNNNNNNNNNNNNNNNNNNNNNNNNNNNNNNNNNNNNNNNNNNNNNNNNNNNNNNNNNNNNNNNGAUCUGUUGUAUUCAGGCCAAAGACGCAGCAUUUAUACACAGACCCCCGCCAUGGGGUCUCUAUUUAUGGACACUUAAACCCGCUCAUGUGUCUCUGUGUUUGGGAGAUAAUUGAGUUGNNNNNNNNNNNNNNNNNNNNNNNNNNNNNNNNNNNNNNNNNNNNNNNNNNNNNNNNNNNNNNNNNNNNNNNNNNNNNNNNNNNNNNNNNNNNNNNNNNNNCCACAAUGGCAACUUAAAAAAAAAAUAAGUACUGUACUGACAUACAAGAUUCCUUGAAAAGGUAUAUUCUUAAAAACACCACCCCUAUACCUCCGCAUCAUGGAUCUGUGAGGCCCAGAAAAGCAUAACUAGGGAAGUACUUAUAAAAUGGGGUUUGCGUAUGAAGAAGGAAUGCAACACUAAAUUGACUACCCUUCUUAAUAGUAUUAACCAAGAUGAAUCUAGUCAUAAAUUAAACCCUUGGGCCGAGGGUUCUGCAACUGGGUUCACGUUUUAUACUUAGGACCGUCGGCCAUGGUAAGAGUGAAUGGCCAAAAUUCCAACCCACUCCAAAUUAACAACUGAACAAAAUUAUUAUACUCUCCAUGGAACCAUUUCUCCAGGCCAUAUGUAAUAACAGAGGGGUAGGUGGAAUAUCAGUACUUUUAAUUAUAGUAUGUGACUGCUGAAACUUCCCAAAAACAAGAGUCUCUUCUUUUCUGGUGGUACAAUGGGUGUAAAUAGUAGGAUCAGGGAGCAGCGCCUGAGAUGGAAUUCCCACCCUCAGAGCGAUAUGGAGGAGGGAAGGAAAAAGACACAUAUAUAGUGUAGUAUGUUAGGAUCUUACGUGAUAGUAAAUGAGGGUAAAUUAAUUGCACUUACAAUUUUCUGGAGCUUAUACUCCGCUCCAGGUAUAUGCGCCUGGAUGGUAUAAUCCCCGUCUAUGGAUAUGUAGAUGGUCCUUGGAUGUCCUCAAAAGGGGGUCUCCAGCGGUAGUAGGGUAUAUCUCCUUUCAAAUGGCAGUGGGCUGGUAUUCUAAUAGUUGGUGAUAUAUAAAAAAAGAGGAUAGAAACAUAAAAUAGCGCUCUCUGGAUGAUACAAAAUAAAAGGAUAAAAGAUGGAGGUAUACUCACAAGUGGAGAGCAAAUGGGAUAUUACUCAAUAUAUGUAGGCGUAGGUGGUAUGAUCCCCACCAAGGAUAUCAUUUCUUGAAUCCUCCAGUAGGGGUGUUGGGGAGGGUUAAAAGGAGUUAUAUUUAAAAAAAAAAAAAAUAGAAUAAAAGGAUAGGCUUACAGGCUCCAAUAGCAUAAAUGGGCUAUAUUUAUUGGAGACAAAAAAAAAACAGUAACCUAAAAAGCUUUAAAAACACUAACGCGUUUCUCCUGCACAGAGGCUUUAUCAAAGUGUUACAGCAUCAGAGGCCUAUCCUGUUUAAAUAGCAGACACAAUUGAUUACAUCAUUAUAAUUAGUGACAUCAUUAAUCAUGUGAUACAGAAAACAGGUAUUAAAACAAGCAAUAAUACAGUGCAGAUGGGAGGGGACAUAAAAUAGGUAUAAAUUAUCCAAUGGAUAAACAUUAAUUUUAAAGGUGGGGAAGAUAAAAGAAGAGAAUGUGGUAGUUUUAAGAAGGGCACCAAGAUGGCUGCCAAAUUAUGUUACUUGGGGUUACCAACAUGGCUGCUGCUGGCUUAAUUAUACCUAUAUCAAAAGUGUAGAUGGAGUACCUAAAUCCCUAGUAUAGGGGAUGGGAAGAUAGAAGAGAUAUCUCCCUGCUGAAAACAAGCAUUUUUAAGUAAAAAAAAUAAGAGGGAAUUUUCUUUUCUCUUUAUGAUUGGCUGGGGUCAUGUCGCCAGUCUUGUAGUGUAGGAGGUAAGGGAGGGCUGGCCCUAUGGUGGGGAUGACAGACAUGACCUGUGUCACAUAAAAAUAUUAUACAAGAAAGAGGACCAGAUAAAAUUAAUGUGGGGGACCUUGGAACAUAAGAUCAUACAAGAGUCAUAGUCAUAAAUUAUUAUUUACAAAAAGUUAUACAAAUCAAAAUCUACGUUUAACCCCAGGAUAAUAUUUUUAACCACACCACUUUUACACUUUUACUUUUACUAAAGUGUUUAUUCUGUUUUUAUAAACAAUGUAUGACACCUUUUAUGAUCUCAUGUCCCAAGGUCUCUCACAUUUAUUUUAUCUGAUCCUCUUUCUCUUAUGAAGACUUUUAAUCCCACCUUUUUUUACACUUGCCCAAAGUUUUUAUUCUGUAUUUUUUUAUUUUUUGCAAAGUUCUAUUCUCCGUGUACUUUUAGUUUAUGUUUUAUUUACAAUCCUUUUGACUCUCAUUUAAUUCACUUUCUAGUUUCUUUCAGGCAUGUAUUUCUUCAUUUUACUACACUCCCCAUGAUUUUAUGGGGUAGAAGAUCCUUUUGUCCCCUUCUCUUGUCGGCCUCCUCCCCCUGUCUCAUUUCAGUUCAGGUACUAAGUGUUUAUCUCCAUGACGACGUGACCCGGCCAGUCAUGUGACACAGGUCAUGUCUGUCAUCCCCACCAUAAGGCCAGCCCUCCCUUACCCUCUGCACUACAAGACUGUGUAGGGAUGGUCUCCAUGGCAACGUGACCCCAGCCGAUCAUGUGGUUUGGGUUGUGGUCGACAUUUUGUUUUUUGUUUGUGGCUUUUGUUUUUUUGAUAAAACAAAUGUAAAUGCUAAUUUCCAGCAGGAAGACAUCUCUUCCAUCUCCCCAUUACCUAUACAGUAGACCACGACAUUCUACUGCACAAAUUCAAAAAAUCAGGUAUUGGUGAUCGUUCUCUAAACUGGUUUCGAUCGUAUGUAUCGGAUCGCUCGCAAUAUGUGUCCAUUUCUGACAGUGACUCCCUCCCUCUCCCAGUCAUGUGUGGUGUUCCCCAGGGUUCCAUUCUUGGCCCCCUACUAUUUACAUUAUUUAUAAAUGAUCUGCCUAAUGUCUGCCAAUCCUCAAAUGUACACAUGUACGCAGAUGACACGGUAAUCUAUGCGAGCAAAUCCAAUCUACCGCAACUUGAGGCUGUGCUCCAAGACCAGUUUACAGAGGUAGAAAAGUGGAUCGCAAAAAAAAAAAACUCUUCCUGAACACUGACAAAACUGUCACAAUGAUCUUUGGAACAGUACCUAAAUUACACAAAUUACACAAUUCCCUACACAAUUCCCACCUAUCCAUCAAAACAAAUUCAAAUGGCACACUGACCGCAGUCCACUCUUUCAAAUACUUGGGUAUGAUAUUAGACCCCAAUCUAUCUUUUGGCCUGCACAUAGAAAAGCUUGCAUCUAAACUUUAUCCAAAAUUAGGUGCCCUGUACAGAAACAAAGCCUGCCUAAGCCCUACAGUAAAGGAAAAGAUUGUACAGCAAAUGCUGAUGCCAAUCAUUGAUUAUGGGGAUGUAGUAUAUGCAUCUGCAUCGCAAUCCCACAUUAAUAAACUCAACACAUUGUAUAACUCGUUCUGCCGAUUUGUGCUACAAUGUAAUUACAGGACCCAUCAUUGUGACAUGCUAAAAUAACUAAACUGGCUAUCGCUGGAAUCCAGACGCACCCUUCAUCUUUCCAGCCUUGUUUUUUAGAGCUUUUCUGGGAAACUCCCACCCUACCUGAACAAAAUGCUUUCCCCAGCUGUUCCCACUUUCUAUAAGCUCUGAUCCAGUACAAGCACUUUACUUAGUCUACCUCAAUACAAAAAGAAAUUGGCCCGAUCCUUCUUCUCCUAUAGAGCACCGCAAUUGUGGAACGACCUCCCACACAAUUUAAAAUCUUCCCUAAGCCUAAAGUCAUUUAAGAGAUCCCUCUCUACAUACCUCAAAACAGAAUGCACGUGUCAUGGUUGAUUAUAUAUUCCCUGCCUGUUCUAUGUUAAAUUUUGUAUAUAUUGUGUAUUAAUAUUGUUUUUGUAUUUUGUUGUACCUAAUGUAACAAUGCAAUGAUUUGUGGACCCAGGACAUACUUGAAAACGAGAGAAAUCUCAAUGUAUCUUUCCUGGUAAAAUAUUUUAUAAAUAAAUAAAUUUAGGUACUCCAUCCACACUUUUGAUAUAGGUAUAAUUAAGCCAACGGCAGCCAUGUUGGUGUCCCCAAUUAACAUAAUUUAGCAGCCAUCUUGGUGCCCUUCUUAAAACUACCACAUCCUCUUCUUUUAUCUUCCCCAACUUUAAGAUUAAUGUUUAUCCAUUGGAUAAUUUAUACCUAUUUCAUGCCCUCUCAUCUGCACUGUAUUAUAGCUUGUUUUAAUAUGUUUUCUGUAUCACAUGAUUGAUGUCACUAAUUGUAAUGAUGUAAUCAAUUGUAUUUGCUAUUUAAACAGGAUAGGCCUUGACAUUUUCUUCUUUGUUCGGUACUUUCCUGUUAUUUACCUGUAUAUUGAAUGUAUUGGUUCGGUAGUUUGAAACUACCGAACAACGACCACCCUCCUGGCUCAUUAACUACAAAGGAACCAGCUAUUAAGUGCUCCCUGGGCGGCCACUGUUCGUACAGCCGAAUGCCACGUGGAAUAGAAAACGGCGGCCAUCUUGUUCGCACAAGGGGAGUCAGCUGGACUUGGUCGUCAAGUGUCUAGAACUAAAAUCGGACACUUGACUUUGUGAGCCACCGCUGAAACUACCGAACGCUGGCUUCUUGUAUUUCCCGAACAGCCAGGGAAGCUCCAUUUGGUAGUUCUGUGCGAACGGAUAAGGGGAGCAAUCGCUACUAUGAGCCAGGGGAAUCCAUUCGGGACUUUUGUUCGGUUUUUACAUAUUUGUGAAUUGACCGACCGCACACACUGAAUUCAUGGAACUGUUUUGGGCAGGAUCCGCGUGUGUGGUCGGUAAAAGGGACCCUCCACACUUUUUUAGAACUCCUGAACCGUUCUGGGUGAAAUUUGGAUAUGUUUGUCCCCCAGAUCAGGGCUAUCAGGGGAUAUGUAAUUUGUGGGGGUACCUGGUGGGGAAAGGGAUGUUCUGAGUUUUGGGGAAAUUGUGUGCUCUCUGCCUGGAGAUAAUUGGUUUAGUCCUUAACUUAUCUCAAUAUCUCCCAGGCAGAGAGAAGGCGUGUAUUAAUGUAAAUCUGUAUGUUGAUUGGCUGUUGUCUUUGUUUGCUGUGGGAGGACAUCUUGCAGGAGGAUUUCUCAUAAAAGCCCGUGUGUGUCAAUAAAAUUAAUUCCUGUUACACCCUUCAUGAAGUCUAGGCUCAUGUUUGGGGGAUAGUCUAUUUACGUUGAAGAAUCACCUUGGAACUGCAUUUCAUCUACCUUAUUCCUCUACUCCCUGCUGCAGCUAUAAUCACUCAUGCUCAGCUGUUGAGAAAGGGAACAGAAGACCGCAGCACCAUAACCACUGCAGGUCUUAACAACUGGUGGCAAGCGACAGGAUUGAAUGGAACACAUAAGGACAACUGGUGAAUGGCCCAGCAGUAUGAGAAACUAAAAAGGACUACACUAAAGGAUCUGCUGGAAGCUCGGGGACAAGUGGCCAGCAACAAAAAGAAAGUUACCCUCAUAGCAGAACUAAUGGAGGGCGACCAAACCAGCAGCAUGGCGAAUGUCAGCCAGGAGGAAGCUGAAUUUCGACGGAAGGUGAUGUGGAGGCUAAACAUAUAUGGGCCAAAUCCCACACCUGAGAUGGUGACGCAAGUCCUGGCACAAGUGAGUACAGAGCACAGAGCGCAGCAGGCAAGCGUGAACCAAGGAGACAACGCUUCCCUAACUGGAUCUAUAAAUGGAGGGCAGCGGAGAAACAUUAAUUACGCUGCUUUUAAAAGUUUCUCGGAUGAAGAUAUGGAAAUUGACGCAUAUCUACAGGAUUUUGAGUGUCAAUGCGCGUUGGAGGGUCUGGAAUCGGAGCAAUGGGCCGCGAUUUUAAGCAGUAAGCUCACAGGCUGAGCAGCGGAGGUGUACCAAGCAGUUCCUGACACAGCCAUACACGACUAUGCCAGGGUAAAGGACAUUCUCCUAGCCAGGUAUGCCGUGACCCCAGAGACUUACAGGAAAAAGUUUCGGGCAUUGCGGAAAGGGGGCCAAGACUCCUACACCGAAUGGACCUUUAGGAUGUAUCGGGCAGCCCAAAACUGGAUACAGGCCAGGCCACAACGCUAGAGGAGGUGCUGCAACUCCUCUUGCUAGAACAAUUUUUUGACCACACACCUACAGACACCAGAGACUGGGUCAGAGACAGGAAGCCGUCCACAGUCGAGGAAGCGGCUAAGUUAGCAGAUGAGCAUCAUGAAGGAAGAAAAGGAGGAGCAGAUGGGAACCGUCCUCUGGUAAGGUACAGCGCCCCAACACCAGGUCCUAUGGCCAACCCCAGACCAAACCCGGUACCACCCACAACACAGCCUAAUUUUAAUAGAAGAACCCCAGUAGUAUGUCACCAGUGCAAUCAGCCAGGGCACUACAAAAUACAUUGCCCGCAGCGGAGCAGAGGCAACUGGAAGCGGCCCCCACCACCACCAAGGGCCGCCGCUCACCGCUAUCAGCAUGAACCCCUGGAAGAGCACAGCCUGGAUGCGGAGCAGUGGGCCGUACUACAUAAGGUAAACCUAGCCCAAGCCGAGGGAGACAACCAGGUGCACCACAGACAAUGGGUCACCAUAGACGGAAAAGAGGCGGAGGCGCUACGUGACUCUGGGGCUACCCUUACUUUGGUACAACCUCACACUGUGUCUGCAAAGGUGCGCACCAACAAGACUGUAGCCGUAAGAGUGGCAGGGGGCGCCAUCCACAAGUUACCCACAGCCCGGGUACAGUUACACUGGGGCACCAGAGCCAAGCAGAUGGAGGUGGGCAUCAUGUUGGGACUACCUCCAGAAGUUUUGUUGGGGAACGAUUUGGGGUGUCUAACUUCACAGCUGACUCACCCCGAUCCCCACGACUACCAGGGCACAAGCUCGCCGGGUUGGACCGACACACUCCGAGGAACCACAGGUAGGAAACGAAAACCCUGUAACAUGCCCUAACCCUAUUCCCUUUUGGGGCACUCCCCAAGACUUUGGCCAAGCUCAGCAAUCAAAUCCCACCUUAGCGGGUUACAGGAAGGCAGUAGGCACCCCUAAGGAAGGUAAUGCCCACAAGAACUUCCACUGGAACAAGGGAUUGCUAUAUCGGGUUACAGGGGGAGUGGGGCAGGGAGCAGCCCAAGUUAUAAAAUGGCAGUUAGUCGUACCCCGUAAGUACAGGGCGGAGCUGCUAAAACUCAGCCAUGAUAUCCCGCUAGCAGGACAUCUGGGUAUCAAGAAGACUAAGGACCGCCUUACCCAGACGUUCUUCUGGCCAGGGAUAUCCAAAGAUUUGCAGACCUACUGCAGGACAUGUGACACAUGUCAAAGGAUAGGGAAAAGGUGGGACCACCCUAAGGCCAAGUUACGGUCCCUACCUAUUAUAGAGGAACCAUUCUACAGAGUGGCAGUAGAUCUGAUAGGAGCAAUCCCAGCUCCUCCGGUAAGCACUACAUUCUCACAGUGGUGGACUACACCACCAGUUACCCUGAGGCUGUAGCACUGUCCAACAUUGAGGCAGAGACAGUAGCAGAGGCUCUAGUCAGGAUCUUUUCCCGGGUAGGGUUCCCCCGAGAAAUACUUUCAGAUCAGGGAACCCAGUUCAGGGCAACUGUUACGCAACAAUUGUGGCAGAGCUGCUAAUUGUUAUUUAGCUCCCCUUACCACCCCCAGACUAACGGUCUCUGUGAACGAUUUGACGGCACACUUAAGCAAAUGCUCACAGCGUUCACAGAGUUCUAUGGUCAAUGGGAGAAGUUUUUACCUCAUCUCCUAUUUGCCUACCGAGAAGUGCCUCAGGUGUCCACCGGGUUCUCCCCCUUCGAACUCCUAUUCGGGAGAAAAGUCCGGGGACCCCUGGACCUCAUACAGGAGCACUGGGAGGGCAACACAGUAGAGGAAGGGAUCCCCGUUUUGCCUUACGUGCUGGAGUUCCGGGAACGCUUGCAGGCCCUGACCGAAUCAGUUCGGUAGAACCUGCAGGCGGCCCAGAAACGUCAGAAACAAUGGUAUGAUCGAGGAGCACGAGACAGGAACCUGGAGGCAGGGCAAAAGGUACUAGCCCUCAGACUUUCCAAAAAUACAAGCUACAGGCAGCGUGGCAGGGGCUAUUUAAAGUGGUGGAACGAAUUAGUGACACCACCUAUAUUGUGGCCAAAUGUUAAGAUGAAAGGGUCAGACGAGCCUUCCAUGUGAACAUGUUGAAGCCGUACUUCGAACGCUCUGAGGACGUGGCCGCCAACUGUGCCCCGUCCACCUGCUGGCAGCUAACCAAGGUACCUUAGAACAGGUCGGGUUGGGAGAGAAAUUAGACGCCACCCAGCAGGCAGACGCAAAACAACUGCUGCAGGAAUACGGUGAGCUGUUCUCGGUCCUACCCGGGUACACCUCCACCGCAGUGCACCGGGUGGAGACACAGGGGGCGGCCCCCUUACGGCAGCAUCCAUACCGUAUUCUGACAGCAGUGCGGACUAGCAUGUGGAAGGAAAUCCAAGAGAUGCUAGAACUAGGGGUUACUGAGGCUUCCCAAAGUCCCUGGACGUCUCCGGUGGUUUUAGUAUUGACUACCGGAAGUUGAACGACCAGACUAUCACUGACACCUACCCCAUUCCGCGGAUCGACAAGCUGCUCGAUCGCAUGGCCAGCGGGCACUUCCUAACUACCCUAGACGUGUGCAAAGGAUAUUGGCAAAUCCCGCUAGAUCCGGCUGCCAUCCCUAAGUCGGCAUUCGUCACCCCAUUGGAGCUAUACCAAUUUCGGGUUAUGCCGUUUGGGAUGAAGAAUGUUCCCGCUACGUUUCAAAGGAUGGUGGACCGGCUUCUGGAGGGAAUGCAGGACUUGGCAUGUGCCUAUCUAGAUGAUAUUGCCAUCUAUAGCGGCACAUGGGAGUCACACCUGUCGCACUUGGCUACGGAAUUUGGAAAGUUACAAGAAGCCGGCCUCACCCUGAAACCCGAGAAGUGCCAUGUGGGUAUGGCCGAGGUCCAAUACCUAGGGCAUAGAGUAGGGUCUGGGAAACAGCGUCCCGAACCAGCUAAAGUAGAGGCCAUAGCUAAUUGGCUCCAGCCCCGCACCAAGACGCAGGUAUUGGCCUUCCUACUUACCGCAGGGUAUUAUAGAACGUUCGUCCCGGAGUAUAGCACCCUAGCAAAACCCCUUACCGACCUGACCAAAAAGUUCCUACCUAAGUAGGUUGCGUGGUCCCCGGAGUGUGCAACAGCGUUCCAGAGACUUAAAACGGCGUUGAGCGAAGCUCCAGUACUGGCGGCCCCAGACCCUAACAAAACAUUUCUCGUCCAUACAGAUGCCUCCAUGUUUGGGCUGGGAGCCGUGCUGAGCCAGGUGGGGGAAAACGGCAUGGAGCACCCGGUGGCAUAUCUCAGUCGCAAGUUGCUACCUCGUGAGGUCAGCUAUGCCACCGUGGAAAAAGAAUGCCUGGCGCUAGUAUGGACCUUAAAGAAACUUCAACCGUAUCUUUAUGGCCGUGCUUUUACCCUACUGACUGACCACAACCCCCUCAUUUGGCUCAACCGAGUCUCUGUAGACAAUCCCCGGCUGGAGUUUGGCGUUGCAACCCUACAAUUUUACGCUGCAAUACCGCCCGGGCAAGCAGAAUGGCAAUGCGGAUGGGCUUUCCCGUCAAACGGACUUGGAUGUUUAAUUAUGCUACCCAGACAUCCCCUAGCCAACCCGGCAGGGUCUAGGCGGGUAUGCCAACCCAUGGAACUAAGGGGGAGUAUUGUGAAGAAAAUAGACUUUUAAUUGACAUUUCCUUCUUUGUUUGGUACUUUCCUGUUAUUUACCUGUAUAUUGAAUGUAUUGGUUCGGUAGUUUGAAACUACCAAACGAUGACCACCCUCCUGGCUCAUUAACUACAAAGGAACCAGCUAUUAAGUGCUCCCUGGGCAGCAGCUGUUCGUACAGCCGAACACCACGUGGUUUGAAAACGGCGGCCAUCUUGUUCGCGUGAGGGGAGUCAGCGGGACUUGGUCGUCGAGUGUCUGGAACUAAAAAUCGGACACUCGACCUCGCGAACCACCGCUGAAACUACUCUUGCAGGAGGAUUUCUCAUAAAAACCCAUGUGUGUCAAUAAAAUUAAUUCCUGUUACACCCUUCAUGAAGUCUAGGCUCAUGUUUGGGGGAUAGUCUAUUUACGUCGAAGAAUCACCUUGGAACUGCAUUUCAUCUACCUUAUUCCUCUACUCCCUGCUGCAGCUAUAAUCACUCAUGCUCAGCUGUUGAGAAAGGGAACAGAAGACCGCAGCACCAUAACCACUGCAGGUCUUAACAGGCCUCUGAUGCUGUAACACUUUGAUAAAGCCUCUUUGCAGGAGAAACGCGUUAGUGUUUUUAAAGCUGUUUUAUGUUAGUUUUUUUUGUCUCCAAUAAAGAUAGCCCAUUUAUGCUAUUGGAGCCUCUAAGCCUAUCCGUUUAUUCUAUUUUAUUUUUUAAACAUAUAACUCCUUUAAACUCUCCCCAACGUCCCUACUGGAGGACUCGAGGAGUGAUAUCCUUGGUGGGGAUCAUACCACCUACGCCUACAUAUAUUGAGCAAUAUCCCAUUUGCUCUCCACUUGUGAGUAUAUCUCCAUUUUUAAUCAUUUUAUUUUGUAUCAUCCAGAGAGCACUAUUUUGUGUUUCUAUCCUCUUUUUUUAAAAUAUAUAUAUAUAUAUAUAUAUAUAUAUAUAUAUAUAUAUAUAUAAUCUAUCACCAACUAUUCGAAUACCGGCCCACUGCCAUUGGAAAGGAGAUAUAUCCUACUACUUCUGGAGACCCCUUUUUGAGGACAUCCAAGGACCAUCUACAUAUUCAUAGACGGGGAUUAUACCAUCCAGGCUCCAGAAAAUUGUAAGUGCAAUUCCUUUUCCUUUAUUUACUAUCACUUAAGAUCCUAACAUACUACACUAUAUCCGUGUCUUUUUCCUUCCUUCCUCCAUAUCGCUCUGAAGGUGGGAAUUACAUCACAGGCGCUGUUCCCUGAUCCUACUAUUUACACCCAUAUGUAAUAACAACCAGAUUAGUGGAUGAACUUCCCAGGGGGUGAAAUAAGUCUCUGCAUUUGCAGACAAUAUUCUGUUUACCUUAACUAAUACCACCCGAUCGUUACCCAAGAUAGUUGAGAAAUUUAAUCACUUUAGUGCCAUAUCCAACUUUAAGGUCUAUACAGAUAAAUGCAAGAUGCUUGAUAUUCUGGUGUCUCCCGCAGGCAGACGCAAGAUAACUCAAUCCUUCAGUUUCCGAUGGGUUACAGUGGGCGUUAAAUAUCUCGGUGUUCAGAUUACCACCUACUUAGCUUGCAUCUACAAGGCUAAUUAUAUUCCCCUAGUGGAAGAUAUACGUAAGGACCUUCAACUACCUCAUCUUUCCCUUAUGGGGAGAAUUAAUAUUCUCAAGGUAAUGGUGCUCCCAAGACUUCUUUACCUCAUGCAGAUGGUACCAGUUAAUUUGCCCAAAACAUUCUUCUCUAUGCUCAAACAUACAUUUGUCAUAUGUGUGAGGCUCCCAACACCCCUGCAUUUCUUAGCAGACUCUUAUGGGCCAAAAGGGACGUUGAGGUCUACCACACAUGUACCACGACUGCUUGGCUGUCUUCUUUACUAGACUGAGAAAAUGGACACUUAUAGAUAAGAACAGUCUUGAUAUGACUUAGAAAGGUGGUGCGGGAAUUAGUCCAACUGUAUGCUGUGCUCAAUGACGUUAUUUGUCAUUCGGGUGCUUGUGUUGAUUUUACAAAUUGUUUGGUGUUGGUAUUUUUGUCAUCAAACUAAUUUUAAAGAGUGAAUUUGGGGAACAAGAAAGUCCCUGUAGGAAUUUAUUUUAUUUUAGCUGAUUGCCUCUUUUUUUUUUUUUUGGUAUGUCCCUCUCUUGCUGUAAUUCUGUGUUGUAGAAUCUGUUCUGUUUGUGUUUUUUUAGCUCCAUAGGUUUGUGCACACUUAUUCAUGGACAAGGCAGUAAAGGACCUGUAGCUUUUAUUUUUUCCCCCCCAUGAAUCUGAAAAAAAAUGAAAACAUAAAUAGUUUUAAAUGGACAACUUUUACUUAAAGGAGCACUAUAGGGUCAGGAAUACAAAUGUGUAUUCCUGUCCCUAUUAGUGUUAAAACUAUUAUUUUGGUCCCUGGCCACCACUUAUCUCCCCACGCCCCCCUCCCCCCCUGCUUUUAACAAGUUAAAAUGUUACAUUUCAUUCUCAUGCUGCACAGGUCUGCAAGCACUGGCCUAGCCCUCAAUCCUCCAAUCAACGUCAUUGAGCACAGCUUACAAUAUCAGAAUUCAUGAUCUCAGCCAGUCCAAUGCCAUAAUGUCAUGCUGGGCAGAUGCCAAAUGCCAUGCUGGCCAAUCACUAUCUUCUCAUUUAGAUGCAUUAAAACAAUGCAUCUCUAUGGGGAAAGUUCAGCGCCUUCGUGCAGAUCCUGAAGACCAUGAACGCCAGUGGUACAUAUUUUGCUUUCCCCACUGUGACGGACCGCUUGGCACCCCAACCGGGUGCCUCCGUCAAUCGAUGCUCCUAGUGCUCACUGGGGAAUCCAAGCACUCCACCAGACACCAUCCGCACUGUAGACCCCACAAACCACCGCAGCUUGGUUGGGGUCCUCCACCCACCCUCGACCCAAGACCAGGAUCCAGCUUCCAGUGGGUAAACCUCUCCUACUCCAGAGAGUAUAGCAGGAGCAGCUCUUAUAAGAGCUAGUGAUUAGAACCCAGGGGAGUAUGAGUAAAGCAAUCCCCAGAGUAAAUAUAGCUGUCCCCCCACACAUGAGACGAGGCUCUAUGUUGAGGGUGAAGUGGAACUGAUUUUAAUGGUGCCACACUUGGUCUUAUAUGACAAUCCCCAAGCAAAGGGGUAUGCCCACAUGGACCUGAUUGGUAGAAUGAUUUACAACAUCACAGACCAAUAUCAAUAAGGUUACAAGGCACGACACUCCCACACACAGCACACAAUACCUCCCCUCUGCCUGGGAGAUAAUGAAUCAGUAACUGUACUAAUUCUAAUCCAAUUAUCUCCAAGCGAGGGGUGGAGCUGAGCGCCAGACAGGAACGGUAGCAUCACCUCUGAGCUCCGGACAAACAACGGCAAAAAGGCCCUGAAACAAAGCCCUGUGGCACUUGCAGAGGUAUUCUACCAGCCCCCGGGGCAACCCCAGUGAGCAACAGGCUGAUGCCUUUUUUGUAUCUGCAAACGGGCAGAAAGAUCCGACAGAAAACCGGGGCCUACACCGCCGACCAAGCUAGGUCUAAACAGAUAAAUGCUAGGUCUACCCAGAUAGCACAAAACCUCACAGCCCUGAGAGUGCACCAGAACGCCUACCUGCAGACUGGGACAGCCGCGCCUGACGACUACAGCAUGAGUAGAAAAUCCCAGAGACCCACACAGAACACAAGCAGGACCACACAGGACAUAGGUGACCUGCUGCAAAGACCAAUGGCACCCAAGAUGGCGGCCUCACCGGACCACACAACUACCUCCCAAGAUGAAGGAGAGCAAUCCGGAGCUGAACAAGAAAAAUCAGCCGCUCAUCCAACGAGGGACCCACAAACUAACAGAAUUAACCUCACACCGGCUACUAAACAAGACAUAGCCGACCUGUUAAAAGAAAUGUGACAAAUGCACGCAGCAGAUUUGGACUUGCUAAGGACUGAAAUGCAGGCAGUAACUACACGCACUCAAGCCACCGAAGAGGACAUCCUAGACCUGAAACAAGAAGUAAAGGGGCUAAAAGAACAAGUAAUAUUCACGCAGACAUCCCUGUCCAACCUCACUAUGAGAAUGGACCUAGCAAAGGACCGCAACAUAUGCACUAACUUAAAACUAAGGGGGAUACCGGAUAGCGUUGACUCCACAGGACUACCCCACUACCUCAGACGCCUCACAGCCACGCUCCUACCGCAUGCCCAAACCAUAAAAUUCACACUAGACAGCUUCUUUAGGAUCAGAAAAGCAAGACAAGCCCCAGCCACAGCUCCACAAGACGUCAUCAUCCGGUGCCACUCAGUGGCGGACAAAAUCAAGAUCCUUACAGCAGUCAGGGGAAAACCACCGCUUGCUUUCGAGUCAUCCCACAUUACCUUCUACCAGGACUUAACAAGAAACACGCUGUUGUGGCGCAGGCCCCUGGCACAAGUGACGAGCAGUCUGCACGAAGCUAAAAUUGAGUACAAAUGGACUCUACCAAGGACUCUGACCGUAAAACGCGGUACCACAUACAAUCUCUCCUCACUACAGGAGGCAGAACAGUUACUAUGCGUACUGGGGAAGCAUGCCGGACCCGCAGAACAAGAAACUCCCACGACAUCGCACACUUGGGAUCCUGAAAGAACGACUCCAUUCAUCCCCAGGAACAGAGAGCACCGGAAUGAACUGACCUGAACUGUAAAAAUUGUAGCCAGCAACCAUACAAUGCAUUAACCGGUUACUGCGUUACCUUCUGUUUUACCUUUGGUUUCACUUGUUGUUUUACCUUUUUGUUUUAUCAAUGUAUUGCUGUAACAUACGCACCCUACAAGACUAACUCAUGCUACACCAUAACUCCUGCUGACCCAACAUCAGACAAGACUCACUCUGACACAGUACACCAAAAGCUCCAGGGAGAAUACACCACCUCCCACCCGCCCCUCGGUAAGGAGUCAAUUCCCAACCCACUGGACGACCGCUGAGGCACAAAUGGGCUCAAUGAGUGACAACUGCUUACCUAUACACAAACGAACACACGCAGACACACGCAGACUUCACAGUACUCACUCGUAGACAUAAACGUCACUGAGGACAACCAUUUACACACGCAAUCAACCCCCAACAUGGAACACAUAAGGGGGCACAAACGUGCAAACAGCCAUCUCCAGACAGACAACCCUUGGGUUCUUUACCCCCUGUAACGAUACCUUACCUGGGUCCGCCGAUCCCGCGCGGCACGACAGCUUCCCCGGCUACUUCCGGGAGGCGGCACGGCCUCUCGGACGCUGCCCGCUCGAGGCAAAAUCCGUUUUAUGACGCGGCGCAUGCGCGCCGACGUCAUAAUGAUUUUGCCGCGAAAAUUCAAACGCAGCCACGCUCCCGAACCUUUUGGGGGCGUGGCUUUAAAGUGACACACACAUUAGUAUAAAAGGGCAUUCCUGUCCACACCUCAGUGCCCUAGUGUGGUUCUUGUUUGUUCCCCUAGUGCUCUUUUACUGUUUAGCUGUUUUUCUGGUAUUUUGACUCUUGGCUUUCGUUCUGACUAUUCUCCUAUCUGGCUCCCUGACUUUUGGCUUGGUUUUUUCGUAUAUCCCGAUUUCCGUACUCCCUUGACCCUCGGCUUUUUCUUGACUAUUCUUUGACGUUAAGUCCGGCCACCCUAAGGUCCGGUAUACGUCCCUUUCAGGGUUACCAUCUGUGUGAAGGGGUCACUAUCGUGACAUUACACUAGGGCCAUGGACCCUGCAGGUGCUAAUCCUCAUGGCCCGGUUCCUGAUAAUCGGUUUGAGGAGCUGGAUCAUCGUAUGGACCAGUUUGCUGUAGCCGUUCAGACCCUGUUAGCUCGGACUGCACAUCUACAGCCAGAGGACCAUAUUCCGGGUCUUAGACCUCAGGAACCUCAUUUGGAGAUGGCGGCAGGGGGAGCUUCUGCCCAUGCCACAUCCCCUCUCCGUUAUGGAGGUGAUCCCAAGGGUUGUCGGGGUUUCCUCAAUCAAAUAAGUAUUAACUUUGAACUUCAUCCUAGGGCAUAUCCUACCGAUAGAGCAAAGAUUGGUUAUAUUAUAACAUUGUUAGUCGAUAGAGCACUAGUUUGGGCUAAUCCAUUGUGGGAAAACGACAAUCCCAUAGUUUUCAACUACGCAGAGUUUGUCGCAGCCUUUAGAAGAACAUUUGAUCCCCCUGGGAGACGUACCAAUGCUGCUAAAACCCUAUUACGAAUGAGACAAGGGUCUCGUUCCCUUGUGGACUAUGCCCUAGAAUUUCGCACUCAUGCUGCAGAGGUCAGAUGGAAUGAGCAGGCCUUUGUAGAUGUGUUUAUGAACGGACUUUCUGACAAACUUUUAGAUGAGGUAGCCACCCGAGAUCUCCCUAAUGUGUUGGAAGAAUUAAUUACAUAUCUAGCACAUAUAGAUGAACGUCUCAGACAUAGACAAAACACCAGGGAUAGACCUAGGCGUAUGCCAGAACGCCUGGCAUUAACGUUUCCUUCAUCUGAGGAAACCUCUGUCGCUCCAAUAGAACCCAUGCAACUGGGAGCCACACGGUUGUCUGAACCUGAGAGACAAUAUAGACGAAGGGAGGGACUUUGUAUGUAUUGUGGGAAAAGAGGACAUACCCGCUUACACUGCCCAAGCCGGCCGGAAAACUCCAACGCCUAAGCCCUCAAGGAGGACAGGCCUUGGGUGUAACGUGUAUGUCCUCCUUCCAAGAUAGAAAAGAACUCAGGCUUCUUCUACCGAUAACUAUAGAAUGGGAGAAAAAGUUAAUAAAUACUUCUGCGCUAAUAGACUCUGGGGCAGCUGAGAACUUUAUUGACCGUACUUUCGGCCAACACCACAACCUCCCAUUUCGAGAAAGAACAACACCCUUGGCCGGUGAGGCCAUAGAUGGUAGACCAUUAUCCAUUCCUUUUAUUACUCAAGAAUCCAAACCCUUAGUCUUGACUGUAGGUUCGUUGCAUAAAGAAACCAUAAUCUUACAGCAAAUACCUUCUCCUACUUUUCCGAUUAUACUUGGGUUUCCUUGGCUUACCAAGCAUAAUCCUCUAAUUAACUGGGAGAGGAAAGAGUUAGUAAAAUGGGGUGAUUCUUGUUUUAAGGAUAGUAUCAGUCGAGUUAAACCUAUAGGACUCCUCAACGUUCCUACCAUGGAACCAUUAACCACUCAAGUACCCGAACCAUAUCGGGAUCUCAAGGCAGUCUUUGAACAAAGGGAAGCAAACAAAUUACCACCCCAUCGUUCUUAUGACUGCGCUAUUGAUUUGUUGCCUGGUACUAUGCCCCCUAGGGGUACCGUGUAUCCCCUCUCUGUAACAGAAAACAAAGUACUGGAAGAGUACAUCACAGAAAAUUUGAAGAAGGGUUUUAUUACCAAAUCAUCCUCCCCGGCUGGUGCAGGGUUUUUUUUUGUUUCCAAAAAGGAAGGUGACCUAAGACCCUGCAUCGAUUAUCGGGGAUUAAAUAAAAUAACAAUACAAAAUGCGUAUCCUAUUCCGCUCAUUACUGAGCUUUUUGAUAGGUUAAAGGGUGCUACCAUAUUCACUAAACUAGACCUACGGGGAGCUUAUAAUCUAGUUCGUAUUAAGAAGGGACAUGAGUGGAAAACGGCCUUCAAUACUCGCUAUGGCCAUUAUCAAUAUAGGGUUAUGCCCUUCGGUUUAUGCAACGCUCCGGCAGUCUUUCAAGAUUUUAUAAACGAUGUAUUAAGGGACUAUCUACAAAGGUUUGUUGUUGUUUAUUUAGAUGACAUACUCUACUCUAGGAAUAUCAAGGAGCACCAUAGGCAUGUUAGAAUAGUAUUAUCCAAAUUAUUAAAGAACGGACUCUACUGUAAAUUAGAAAAAUGUUUGACGUGGAGAAGGUUAAUUUCUUGGGUUACAUAAUUUCCGGUUCCGGCUUUCAAAUGGAACCCAAAAAACUAGAAGCCAUUUUAAAUUGGCCCCUACCCGUUGGACUUAAAGCCAUCCAACGUUUCCUGGGGUUUGCUAAUUACUAUAGAAAGUUUAUCAGAGGAUUUUCCUCUAUUACCGCUCCUAUUACCGCUAUGACAAAAAAGAAUAGAAGUCAUACGGUGUGGAGUACUGAAGCUAAGGAAGCCUUUGAAAAAUUGAAGCUAGCCUUUUCUUCAGCCCCGGUGUUAAGUCACCCUAAUCCUUUGCGUCCUUUUUUGCUAGAAGUGGAUGCUUCUGAGACAGGGAUAGGAGCUGUACUCUCUCAGAGAUCCUCGAAUGACCAGCCCCUACAUCCCUGUGGCUAUUUUUCUAAAAAACUGACGGAAACAGAACGAAGAUACGAUAUAGGUGAUAGGGAAUUGUUGGCUAUCAUUUCAGCACUCAAAGAAUGGCGGCAUCUAUUAGAGGGGACAUCUGAACCGAUCAUCAUCUUCACUGAUCACAAGAACCUCUCCUAUUUUGGAGAAGCUAAAAGAAUGACUGACAGGCAGAUUCGUUGGUCUUUGUUCCUAACACGUUUUAAUUACUUAGUGACAUACAGACCCGGUUCUAAGAAUACAAAAGCAGAUGCCUUAUCUCGGCAACAUGAGCACAUAUCCCCACCAGUAACCCAUUUAUCUUCUAUAAUCCCUACUUCACAAAUAGUGGCUACAGUACGUACUAAAAUCUCUUCUAGCUUAAUAGAAGUAUUGUCUAAAUUUCAAAACCACAACUCCCUGACUAUCCCUCAGGGGAAAUUAUACGUACCCUUCAAUUAUAGAAGACGAAUCCUAUCCUUGGUACACGACUCUAAGAUUGCCGGUCAUCCCGGUAUCCAUAAAACAGAAGCACUACUCGAAAAGCAAUUCUGGUGGCCUUCUUACAAGAAGGACAUUCGAGAAUAUUUCCUGGCCUGUAACAUUUGUUCCUCUAGUAAGUCUCCUAAAAGUCGUCCUUUAGGCCUUCUCAUGCCGUUGCCUAUUCCCGAAAUGCCCUGGUCAAGUAUCGCCAUGGAUUUCAUAGUAGACCUGCCACCUUCAAAAAAUCACCGGGUGAUUCUAACUAUCAUCGAUAGAUUUUCCAAAAUGACCCACCUAGUCCCUUUAAUUAAACUUCCUUCAUCCUCAGAACUGGCCACGAUAUUCAUAAGGGAGGUGGUUCGUUUACAUGGUAUCCCUACAGACAUAGUCUCUGACAGAGGCUCACAGUUUGUUUCCAGGUUUUGGAAGGCGUUUUGUGUUCAGUUAGGUAUCAAACUUAACCACUCCUCUUCGUACCAUCCCCAAUCCAACGGAGUUACUGAGAGAAUGAAUCAGUCACUAGAGCAGUACCUCCGUUGCUUCAUCUCCGAUCACCAAGAUGAUUGGAAGGAGUUACUCCCUUGGGCUGAAUUCGCCCACAAUAACUGGGUUCACGAAUCAACACAACAUAGCCCCUUUUUGUAAAUUAUGGCUUUGACCCUACUACUCUUCCGAGUUCUUUUUCAUCCUCCGCUGUGCCUAGUGUUGACUAUACUGUGAGGAAUAUGAAAGAAACUUGGUUAGGGGUCAAGCGUAUCCUGACUCAUAAGGCCGAUGCUCAAAAACGCAAAGCGGACACCCGGCGCAAGAAUGCUCCUAAUUUUAUAGUGGGAGAUAGAGUGUGGUUGAGUACACGCAAUAUUAAAUUACGAGUCCCAUCUAUGAAAUUUGCUCCGCGAUUCAUUGGUCCUUUUAGGAUCCUCCAACGGAUUAAUCCAGUCUGUUAUCGCCUGGAUUUACCAGCUAAUAUGAGGAUUCCCAAUUCCUUUCAUGUUUCUCUUCUGAAACCUUUGAUUUGUAAUCGCUUUACUCGUAAACCCAGGUCUCCUCGUUCUACUCUCAUUGAUGGCCAAAACGAAUACGAGGUUAGGUCUAUUUUAGACUCUCGUAUCUCUAGAGGUCGGCUCCAGUAUCUGUUGGAUUGGAAGGGGUACGGUCCCGAGGAAAGGUCAUGGGUUGAUGCCUCGGACGUGCACGCGCCUCGCCUAGUCCAUUCCUUUGCUAGGCGUCGUUCUCGCGGACCCUGUCCUGCCCGCCCUGGGGGCGGUCCUCGAGGGGGGGGUACUGUAACGAUACCUUACCUGGGUCCGCCGAUCCCGCGCGGCACGACAGCUUCCCCGGCUACUUCCGGGAGGCGGUACAGCCUCUCGGACGCUGCCCGCUCGCGGCAAAAUCCGUUUUAUGACGCGGCGACGUCAUAAUGAUUUUGCCGCGAAAAUUCAAACGCGGCCACGCUCCCGAACCUUUUGGGGGCGUGGCUUUAAAGGGACACACACAUUAGUAUAAAAGGGCAUUCCUGUCCACACCUCAGUGCCCUAGUGUGGUUCUUGUUUGUUCCCCUAGUGCUCUUUUACUGUUUAGCUGUUUUUCUGGUAUUUUGACUCUUGGCUUUCGUUCUGACUAUUCUCCUAUCUGGCUCCCUGACUUUUGGCUUGGUUUUUUCGUAUAUCCCGAUUUCCGUACUCCCUUGACCCUCGGCUUUUUCUUGACUAUUCUUUGACGUUAAGUCCGGCCACCCUAAGGUCCGUAUACGUCCCUUUCAGGGUUACCAUCUGUGUGAAGGGGUCACUAUCGUGACACCCCCCCACACUACUACAAUCCUGGCACUGGAAGGGAAAAAGACACAUUCCUCAAAAUUACUCCAAUGUUGCCUUAGUUUGACACCAACUGACCCAUAAAUUAAAAUGUGCAGAACUAGCUGACACCACAGGUUAGAACUGGCAGACUGAUAUAUGCCUAAACUAUGUUGUGAUGUCAUGAAACACUCGAAAACCCGGAAAGGCUAUUGUGGCCAUACGGGUAGUAUUGUAACUAAUCUCCAAGCACAGAAAAAACAUACUUUUUCAAAACACCCCAAAAGUAUCCUAUAAAUACAUAAAACCCCACAAAAGUUACAUCGCCUGAAUCACCCAGAUCAGUUCAGGACUUAAGGAAUUGCCUGGAAGUCGUCGUUUUUACCGACCGCAUGCAUGGUCCUAUGCCCAAAACGGAUUCAUAGAAUCGUGGCUAAGUGUCACUGGGGAACCGACCGGGAACCGCAAAGUCUUCAUGCUGAAAAUAGUUCCAGGGCAUUCACGGCUAAGUCCCCCUGAAGUCUAUUUAUGGUUUUGGCCGCCAGGGAGCUAGCGUUCGGUUCUAUGGAAAGUGCUGAACCAGGGGGAAUAAAAUAUGGAUCUUUACAGUCGUUGACUUGGCCUGUAGUCUUUUGGCAAGAGGCUGGCCAGCAGGCCCCUCCAAGCACCCAUGACGAGGUUACUUUAGCUACACCCACCCUUCAAUAAGUUAACAUUUUACCUUUAUUCCAGCGCUGCGCGGGUCCACCAGUGCUGGCCUCGCUCCCAGUCCGUCUCCUUGUAGCUGUUAGUAGGCCCUUUUUGGCCAUACUGGCAUUGCUUGUAGUUUCUUUUACUGCAAGGAGGCUCACUAGAGACCAGUGUUUGUGUGUUUGAAUGUAAGCAUGUUAUUGUGCAUGUAAGGGUGUAUUUAUAUGUAGUGUUGGCUUUUAAAUAUAGGUGUGCUUUUGUGUAUAGUGUUGGUGUUUGUAUACAAUUUUAGUAUUUUAAUACAGGGGUGUGUUUGGGUGUAAUGUUUGUAUGCUUUGAUAUAUGUGCGCACACACACACACAUACAUACAUACAUACACUUAAACACACAUAUACACACUGAAUUACACACCAAUUCAUAUACACACUGACACAUGCACACACCUUGACACAUACACACUGACAUAUAUAGAUAUCCAGUUGCAAGAAAAAGUAUGUGAACCCUUUGGAAUGAUAUGGAUUUCUGCACAAAUUGGUCAUAAAAUGUGAUCUGAUUAUCAUCUAAGUCAGGGUUCUCAACCCAAUACUCAGGACCCCCUACCAGUCCAGGAUUUGGGGAUUACCUGGGUGUGUCUCAGGUGUUUAGAAAAAGGGGAAAAACACCUUAGACUCUAAGGUGUUUUUUUUUUCUUUUUCUAAACACAUUAGACACACCCAGGUAAUCCCUAAACCCUGGACUGGUAGGGGGUCCUGAGGACUAACGUUGAGAACCCCUGAUCUAAGUCACAACAAUAGACAAUCACAGUCUUCUUAAACUAAUAAGACACAAAGAACGAAAUGUUGCCAUGUUUUUAUUGAACACACCAUGUAAACAUUCACAGUGCAGGUGGAAAAAGUAUGUGAACCCCUAGACUAAUGACAUCUCCAAGAGCUAAUUGGAGUGAGAUGUCAGCUAACUGGAGUCCAAUCAAUGAGAUGAGAUUGGAGGUGUUGGUUACAGCUGCCCUGCCCUAUAAAAACACACACCAGUUCUGGGUUUGCUUUUCACAAGAAGCAUUGCCUGAUGUGAAUGAUGCCUCACACAAAAGAGCUCUCAGAAGACCUACGAUUAAGAAUUGUUGACUUGCAUAAAGUUGGAAAGGGUUAUAAAAGUAUCUUCAAAAGCCUUGCUGUUCAUCAGUCCACGGUAAGACAAAUUGUCUAUAAAUGGAGAAAGUUCAUCAAACGUUUGAUUGAAGUUAUUGCCGCCAAAGGAGGUUCAACCAGUUAUUAAAUCCAAGGGUUCACAUACUUUUUCCACCUGCACUGUGAAUGUUUACAUGGUGUGUUCAAUAAAAACAUGGCAACAUUUAAUUCUUUGUGUGUUAUUAGUUUAAGGAGACUGUGAUUGUCUAUUGUUGUGACUUAGAUGAUGACCAGAUCACAUUUUAUGACCAAUUUGUGCAGAAAUCUAUAUCAUUCCAAAGGGUUCACAUACUUUUUCUUGCAACUGUAUACGCACACUGACACACCAAUGCACACGGACACAGAUGUGCGCACGCACACAAUCUUAUUUACUCAGAUAUACAUACACAUUAAAACAGAUACACAUAAACACCCUGACACAGACCCAAAGAUAUGCACACACUGACACAUGCACGCAUGCUUAAACACACUGAAAUAUACAAACCUGGAUACACACACUCAUAUACACACACACAGUGACACGGAUACAAUGUGACACAGAUCCACAAACACAUAUGCAAAAACACAAUCUGAUAUAAAUCUUAAUUUUUACAUUUGCAGUCACCCUCCUGUUAACAUGCCUUUUGUUUCCAGGAGGGUGGCUUGCUUGGAGUUCUGCUGCUGACUGAGGGGAGCACAUGUAGUUGUCUGCUGCAGUUCCUGUCUUUCUUCCUACUUGCUGCCUGUGCCUCCUCCGCCACCUCCCAUCCUCCAUACGCAGUCUGUCAGGAAGAAGCUAGGAGGCACGUAUCACAGGGGCCCGGUCGAGGUCUUAAAGGGCUGUGGUACCUGACCAGGCGCCUGUUUAGCAUUAAAGAAAGAAUACCCAUCGGGUGGCCCCGGCGGUAGUUCCAUCACUGGGUCCCGGCAUCACUGCAGGGCGUGCAAGGGAGCUGUGCUGGAAGAUGAUUACAGCUCUUUCGCCAACCUCCACCUUCAUUUCCACCCCCCUUUGGUAGAGUAGGAACCUGCCAACCAGGUAAGCAGGUGCCUACUCUGCAUUAGUGCACAGCUGGCCGACUCCUAGGGUUGCUAAGGUUGCACACUAGUUCUUGGAGUACCCCCUGUAUUUGGUGCACAUACAACUUGGGUUAUGUGUACCACUUGUUGAGAAAAAAGUUGUAAACCAAUAAUUACUGGACUAAAACAAUAUUUCAAGUUGCAACAGUAGUUUCCAGUAGGGGAAUAUUCACUAAGUGGAUUUCUUCUUAGGUUGCCAUAGAUAUAGAAAAAAAAAGUCACUACAUUGAAUUAUAAACUUAAUUAAAAGUAAAUUAAUGUAGACAAAUAAAUACCCUUACAUGAAUUCAACCUGUGUGCCACCCAGACUCCUCCCAGAGGUCGGAGAAAUACCAGAGGCUCAACCUGCACUCCAGGCUUGACUUACAUCAACGCGUUUCACCAAUUUGGGGAUUUAUCAAGAUAAAGCAUGGCACAAAUUUAUCGUGCUGCAAAAGAGUCAUGCAAACUUUUCACCUCUAUCACAAUGACAUUAAGUUGAGAGCUGGAGCGUGAAGAAUUAUUUUGACUUCCACCACCAUUUGGAGAAAAGAAUGCACAAUGUGAAAGAGAGAAAUGCUAAAUCUGCUAAAAUCCUAAAAGCUGUAUAAAGCUAUGAUCAUAAAAAAAUAUAAAAUAUUUCUCCUUACAAUUCUCUCUGCCAAUAUAAUUCCCUGGAAAACAAACAAAAAACAAGCAUAUUUGAAGCAUAUCUUAAGUCUAUGUCUACCCUAGUAUUUUCAUUAUUAGAUAUUCUAUUAACUGUUGCCAAUAGGAGUGAAAGCACAACUCCUCUGUGUGAAAAGUUCACAAUUUGCAAAACUAAUUUGGAAACUCUGUGGCAAUCCAAAAUGUAGGCAUAUAGCUACAGCUCUAGUGAAUAGGGUAGGCAACAAUGUAGUCCAGCCUGUAUAAACCACACAAAUCUCAGUGUAAAUUACAAUAAGCAUUCCUAACAUCAUAACACAUCUACUCAAAUCAAGCCAGAACACUCCAGAGAACAUGAGGGAACCCCAAAAACCAAGGGGGGUGGGGGUUGUAUAAGAAGACAAAGGGGGAUGUGGCUUGGAGGCCGAGGAAGAUGGCAGCCAAAACCGGGAGCUCCUUGCAGGCUCAGCAACAAUGCUCGCCGGAGACCCACAAUAUCUUGCCAACAUGGGUAAAACUCAGGCUACACAAGCCAACAAGCAUUCCGACACUCCUAAGGGGUCCCAAGCCUCUGCCAUGCGCCUAUACCUUCUCACAUCGGCUGACUUGGCUUCACAGGCCUCAAAUGACUCGGAGGCUACAAACUUUUCUCGCGCACAUUCCCCAAGUGGUGACCAGCCUGGCAAAGCCUUACUUACCAAGGCUCCCCAGCAACCACAACCAGACUGGGUGGAGCUGAUCCGCAAUCUCUAUACAAAGGCGGACCUGAAGGAGGCGAACACCACUCUCCACAAGUUGAUCGCUGCAGAACUACACACCCUCAGAGAGGACAUCCAGGGCUUAAAUAAAAAAGUGGCCCAACUGGAGGCGGACUGCGACCACGUGAUGUCGGCGCAAUCUGCGAACACGGGAGCACUGCACCAACACGCAGACCAACUCUGUCAGAUGGCCUUACAUUUGGAGGACCUCGGCAAUCGUGGGAGAUGGCAAACAUACUGAUAAGAGGUAUGGCGGAGAACCUCAACCAAACCGCCCUGCUUAGACACCCUUACGGAGCUAUUUAACAAAUUACUGGACAGGCCGGCAACAACGCCUACUGAAUUUAAGAGAUGUGGUCUGCUGCUUUGCCCACUUCCAGCUCAAGGAAGACAUUUUGCGCAAAGCCAGGGACACAGGGCAAGUUCUAUAAAAUGCAGUGGAACUCCAGCUGUAUCCUGACCUAGGUGUCCACCUGUGUGUCUGCUGUGUGUUCUAGUUUGGUGCAGGUGCUGGCUUGCUGUGCCCCCAUCUCAUCCUCCCGUUUCGGGCCUGCCCUGGAGCUAAAGUUGCAGUCCAAGAUUGUGUCCGCGAUGGUAAGUAUCGUGCCAGGGCGCCUUGCUGGGGGUUAGCCCUUGACUGUUGUGGGUAACAGGCUAGUUUGUACCUGUAAGCUGUUUGCGUUGUGAGCACUGGGUUGUUGUUGCAGGCCCCCUCAUUGCCUUCGGCACGCAUGGCUUCCUCCAUCUUUGGUGAGAUGCUUAGGCCACUGAUCGUGGUAGUGACGCUGCUGGGUCUUGGUGGGCCUGUGGUUGUCGUGGCCACUGGGUAGGGAACGGGAUAACCCGCCUGGUCCAGAAGGGGGGUGGGGACACCAGUUGGAGACCCGGGAAAGCGGCCAUCCCUACCCGGCUCAAGCUCCAGAGCGCUUCGGGCCUUGUCGGGAUACUUUGGAAUGCCAGGCAGGGUCUUGAGUGGUAUCCCUGUGUACCCUAGCUGCUGGAGGUCGCUGUGGGCACCAGUAUGGGUCAGUGGUUGUGUUUGGCACCUAGUUGGCACAGAUUUUCAGGCCCAGAAGCAGGAGCUCAGACGGAGCACGUUUGAUCCUGUCGGCGGUCAGGACCCGCCCCCCCGUCAGUGCUUUUAAUGUUGUGGCUGAUAAGUGUCCAUAACACAACAGGCAGCCUACACACAAUACCACAAACAAUCUACACAUACACAACUCUACAAAACACUUAUGCCACACACACAAAAUACUACAAGCCAACCCCUCCACAAGCACAAUUCUACAAACAACUAUGCAUGCAACCAAUAUAUGCAGUCACACAACACCAUGGGCAUCCCACACACAUAUAUAUAUAACAUACAUAAUGUCCACAAACAUACACACAAAUUCAACCUUACAAAGCAUCAACCGCACCCAUACACAAAACAUGCCGAAUUCUCAACAUACAUAAAUGUUACUUUAAAAAUAAUAAAAUAAAAGGUCUGGCUCUCUAUUGUACUGGCUUGUAUUACUUUUAGUCGAGCACAGCACUACCAAAAUGUUCGCUCCCCUUGGUGUAGAUGAAGUUUUUGUGAGUUUGAAAUGUCAUUUUGCUACUUUCCUCUCCCUUCUAAUCUAGCGCUAUACUUUUAUCUCCUUAAUUUUUCCCAUCUUUGUUUUCAAACUGUCUCCUUUUAUUUUGCAGUUCUCUCCUAUGGAGUUCAUGUUUUUUGACAGAUACAAUUGCAUGGAGAGAAUUUAUUUUUUUCCUGAUAGUUAUACUAACUUUAUAAUAAGUGGAUAUUGCAUUUUAGUGGAUUUAAUAAAAGUUCCUACACCAUAUUUCAUUUGUGUUUUUUUAAUCUUUUGUUAACCCUUUGGUGUAUACAAAUUUAUUUUUAAUACCUCAUUCUCUUUACUAGUACUUGAAAGAAUAUAGUUCAUGGAUAAGAGCUUGGUAGAGUAGAGCGAACCCGGACUGUAAAGUUCGGGUUCGUACCGAACAUUAAGUUUUUUGGACCACAGACCCGAACACGGACAUAUCACUGUAUGUUCAGGUUGGCGUUCGGUGUUCGGCGAUUUAAUGGCGUGUUUUGAAAGGCUGCAGGGCAGCCAAUCAACAAAUGUUUGACUCAUGUGCCCUUAGAAGCCAUCAUAGCCAUGCCUACUAAUGGCAUAGCUGUGAUUGGCCAGUGCAGCAUGUGACCCAGCCUCUAUAUAUAAGCUGGAGUCGCGUAGCGCCGCACGCACAUGAGUUCUUAUUAGUGUAGGGAGAGGAUGCUGCCGCUUUCAGGGACAGAUUAGAAAAAAAAUUCUGCAUACUAGAACAUUAGUGGGGUGCACUUCAUAUCUGAGAGUCAAAUAGAAGCGUCAAAUACCGCGGUUACAUCGGAGUUUUAAAAAGUCAAUUUUUGUUUGGUGCUAAAAAGCACAUUAGUGGGGUGGACUUCAUAUCUGAGAGUCAAAUAGAAGCGUCAAAUACUGCGCUUACAGCGCAGUUGUAAACAUUCUUAUUUUCUGGGUGCUAAUCUGCUAAAUAGUACAUUUUGGGCAUGCUCUUCAUAUUUGAGAGUCAAAUAGAAGCGUCAAAUAGUGCGCUUACAGCGCAGUUGUAAACAUUCUUGUUUAACUGCUAAUCUGUUAAAUAGUACAUUUUGGGCGUGCUCUUCAUAUCUGAGAAUCAAAUUGAAGCGUCACAUAGUGCGCUUACAGCGCAGUUGUAAAAAUUCUUAUUUUCUGGGUGCUAAACUGCUAAAUAGUACAUUUUGGGGCCUGCUCUUCAUAUCUGAGAGACAAAUAGAAGCAUCAAAUACCAAUAUAACAAUAUUGUAAUUCGGGGGCAAUACCCUCACAAGUCAAACUGAGAGGUCAGUUUAUAGGGACAAUUGUUUCCUGGAUACAAUUCUAAAACAAUUUCCAUAUGUCCUUUGCAGACUUUACAUGCUGGAAAAACACAGGUGCCAUCUGCUGUGGCUUUCUGCAGUGUGCAGACCGGCAAUGAGGGCAGGGUUGAGGAGUGGGAGGAAGAUGAUGUGGAGGAUGAUGAGGUCCUAGACCCCACAUGGAAUCAAGGUCAUAUGAGUGACAUGUGCAGUUUGAAGGAAGAGGCGCUGGUCGCACAGAGGCACCAGCACAGCAUAAGAGGGAGCAGGGUGCAAAAGCGGAGAAGCCGUCCCCUAGUGCUCGUCGGCAUGUAUUAUCUCUAGAAUUCCCACAGUUAUCCAAGUAACUGAUGGAGCUAUAAAAGGAACCAUAACAGAUUUAACGAGCCAUUCGCAGUUUCGCAUUCCGGUGACCAGGACCCAGACACUGUCUGGGCGUCGGUCGGACGACCGGGACCCAGGAUGUCUGAUGUUGAAGUUAGGAGUCACAGUGUGGAAUGGAUUAGCAGGGUCUGGUGCAGGGAAACCGCACGGCCCCUGGUGUUGAGCACCAGCGUUUGUGCGGCCACGUACCAGGACCCUGAUGCAGCUUCAGUAAAAAGAGUACUGGAUACCAGAAGCCAUCACCAUACUGAUCCGCAACUUGGAACAGGAUGUGACAUUCACUGUAGUGGCUGUGUGCGCUUUCGGCAUUCUCACCCUGCUGCUGCUCGCCUGUCUGCGCUGCAGCGUAAGUUUGGCCUUCCCGCUCACCGCCUCUUAUGCAACAUGCCCACAGGGUGGAACUCCACCUUGCACAUGCUGGAGAGACUGUGCGAGCAGCAGCAGGCGAUAGUGGAGUUUCAGCUGCAGCACGCAUGGGUCAGUCGCUCUGCACCAGACUUGCCCUCCAAUUGAUCAGAGUUAAAGGAUUUCAAAUGGACUCAUUACAAUUACAGGGCCUCUAAAGAGUCCUGUAUUGUUAUUUGUCGUCACUAUCUCCCCGCGUCGAGAGUGGGUCAUUUGCGCACCUGCUGCCUUCCUUGCAUGUGGUAGCUGUUUGUCAGGGUCCCUGUACGGAAUCGAACCCUGAUUCCCCAUUACCCAUGGUCACCAUGGUAGGCCCAGUAAAUGGCAUCGAAAGUUGAUAUGGAUUGACAUACGAAUGCGUUGUCGCCUUGUCGUUGGGGAAAAAGUGCUCUAACAUGACAAGCUGGGUGAUCUCCUCCGGGAACUUGGCUUGAUGGGAGUUGAGCCAUUUCUGGGUGGCCCUUGUGAGGCCACGGUGUAUAAUCAGAUAUAUUAGAGCUGCUGCAGAAAGUGCGGGCCGUCUGGGAGCGCUUUCGGCAUUCUCACCCUGCUGCUGCUCGCCUGUUUGCGCUGCAGCGUAACUUCGGCCUUCUCGCUCACCGCCUCAUGAAACUGUGCGAGCAGCAGCAGGUGAUAGUGGAGUUUUCAGAUGCAGUACGCACGGGUCAGUCGCUCAGCGGAACAGUUUUCUUUUUUUAGAUGUCCCAAUAUUUUGGGGGCUUCACCAAUUAAAAAAAUUAAAAAAUAAAAUUAUAUUUAUAUAUAUAUAUAUAUAUAUAUAUAUAUAUAUAUAAAAAAUAUAUAGGAAAUAAGGCUUGCACUCACGGUCUGUGAUGUGAUGAUAACAGACAUGUUUUAAGAAUAUUCCAAUAAAGAAGAAAUAUUUUAUCAUUACUACAGACCGUGAGUGCAAGCCUUAUUUCCUAUAUAUUUUUUGUAAUUUUUGGCUAUGGCUUUUUUUGCACCCGGCAUUUUCUGAUACUUUAAAGUGUGUGUGCAGGAUACCACUGGAUGAUAUCUAUAUAUAUAUAUAUAUAUAUAUAUAUAUAUAUAUCAGUGUUGGCUACCUCCUUCUCCGCUACCUAUGGGUCACUUCGUAUAAACUAUGUACACAAUAGCAGAGGCUUGUGAAGGCCUUUUCUCUAUGCAUCAGGAGUUGAGCAUUUCUCCAUGCAUCAGGACUGCAAGAAAUGCACUGCAGGCCGCAAAUGUUUCUUUUUUUAUAUGUCCCAAUAUUUUGGGGGCUACCCCAAUUAAAAAUAAAAACGACAAAAAAAAAAAAAAACAGUGUUGGCUACCUCCUCCUCCUCCUCAGUUUCUGCUCUGUUUUUCCAAUUUAUGGCUGACAAUGACUUCACAGUCCUUUAAAGUCCUAAAUAACUCAGUUUUAGUGUAUAGAUCAUUCCCCUGCAAUUUCACUGGUCAAUUAACUGUCAUUUAGGAGUUAAAUCACUUUGUUUCUGUUUAUGCAGCCCUAGCCACACCUCCCCUGGCUAUGAUUGACAGAGCCUGCAUGAAAAAAAACUGGUUUCACUUUCAAACAGAUGUAAUUUACCUUAAAUAAUUGUAUCUCAAUCUCUAAAUUGAACUUUAAUCACAUACAGGAGGCUCUUGCAGGGUCUAGCAAGCUAUUAACAUAGCAGGGGAUAAGAAAAUAUUAAUUAAACAGAACUUGCAAUAAAGAAAGCCUAAAUAGGGCUCUCUGUAAAGGAAGUGUUUAUGGAAGGCUGUGCAAGUCACAUGCAGGGAGGUGUGACUAUUGUUCAUAAACAAAGGGAUUUAACUGCUAAGUGGCAGAGGAUUGAGCAGUGAGGCACGGUCUAUACACCAAAACUGCUUCAUUAAGCUAAAGUUGUUCAGGUGACUAUAGUGUCCCUUUAACUAAAAUUUUACUUUCUGUGAAAUCUCCUCCUAUACUGCACGUCAUACAGGACAUCAUUCUUGAAGGCAUACCAUGUUUAAACAACUCCAAAAAUCACAUUUACUGUUCCUUUCACACUCAAAUAUUACUUCAUGCCUUGCGAACUAUUUGCUGAAAAUUAAUCAAAUGUUUUUGUUGUGCAGAAAUUGCAUGCUGAUUCUACCUAUUAUGCUACUGACCUAUUCUUCAUUAUACUUGAAGGAACUCACUGGAUGGUAGAGAUUUUGAGCCUUAUACAUAACAAUGGUGACCCUACCUGGUGCCAAAAAGUACCCAAUUGGGAAAGAAUGCCAUGGCUUGAAGUUCAUAGGGAUCCUUCAAAGCAUGUUGAAGAGCAAUCACCACGCUAUUUCUGCUCUCAUUUACCCAUACAGUUGUUUCCAAGGUCUUUCUUUUCCUCUAAAGCAAAGGU